CACAGCCCACGGUGAUGUAUGAAGACAACGCGGCAUGCAUAGCUCAGCUCAAGGAAGGAUAUAUCAAAGGAAAUCGGACGAAGCACAUUCUACCGAAGUUCUUCUCAACCUCUGGCAGAAGGACGGCACUCUCAGCGUUCAGCAGGUCCGAUCCAGUGAGAAUUCAGCUGACCUCUUCACCAAAUCAUUGCCUACUUCAACACACCGGAAGCUCGUCAAACAGAUAGGAAUGUAUAGACUUAGAGAUCUGUAGUGAUGCUACAAUCAGGGGGAGUAAUGCGUGUUGUACUCUUUUUCCUUCACCAUGGUUUUGUCCCACUGGGUUUUUCCUGGUAAGGUUUUAAUGAGGCAACAUUCCCCAGCGCAUUAUCGAGAUCCCGAUUGAGUAGCUGACCCGGUUCACUCGUCUAAGGGGGAGUGUUAUAACACAUAUCAUAUAUGGACUCUUAUACCGGCCCAUUAGGUCCAUCAGGGCAUUGUACUUAACCUAGAUUUCCUAUGUACUCUAUAUAUACAUUCCAGUGAUUAAUAAAGUUUCUAAGUUUUCACAACAAGUUACGAUUAUUUUAUGACAACAGUUUUCUGGAACAACUUAACCUUUUACCAACCAAAAAAAAAAAACAAUUUCCUGGAACCGUGACAGCCAAUUUUCACACGUCUUGAAAACGUUGACUCGUUGACUUUGUGUAAAAAUACUAAAAUUUUAGAAAUGCACGUUCAUACCGAUUCGGCGUGAAUAUAGUUUGACUGAUUAUAAAAGUAAAACCAAAUUAAGUGGCUUUUUUUCUAAAUAUUUUGUUUUUAGUUAACAUUGUCAACUAUACACAUUUGUUUUGAAACGGCAAUGGUAUUAGUAGAGAAAUUACUAUCUAACAUGUUUGGUCAAUUUCGUUUCUAUAUUUUAGAACAAAAAUUUUCUAUACAAUCGCAUGAAUUAAAAAAAUAUACAUUAAAACCUCUAUAAAUUAAUAAUAUCGAAACUAUAAUAUUUUAUUAAUUUAUCGUAUAAUUAAUUUAUCUAUAAAUUAAUAAUUACUAAUUUAUAAAAAAAAAAUUGUGUUCUACUUAUAAUUUUUUAAAACUUUCUUUCCAAUAAUGUUAUAUUUAAAAUAUAAACAAAUCUCUCAAUAUAAUUUAUGAUUAACAAUCAUAGCUAUCACAAUAAAAUAAUUUUAAAUAGCAUAUUGAAUUAUCCAUGUAAAAAUAUACAUGAACAUGUUCAUAAGUUUAAAAUUUAUAAAAAAAAAUCAUGGCGAUAAUCCGUAUUAUUGAUGAUAAAAUUAAAGAUAACACUACCAUACAUUUAGAAACAUUUAUAUUAAAAAAAAAUUAUCACAUUAAAAAAAUCAUUAUAAAUUUUGAAUAAUAUCGUAAAACAACAAUAAAAGCUACUAAUAUAAUAAUUAGAUAAAUAAGACUCAAUAAAAUUUUAAUUUAAGUAAAAACAAACACAUUAGUUAUAUAUUAGAAUAUUAUAUUUACAUAUAUUUUCAUAAAUUUAUAUAAUUACUAAUUUAUGUUUUUGUUGGGACCAUAUAUUUACACAUGGAUUUCCAAAAAAAUUAUUAUCUUAUCAUCUUAUCGAAUUUGAUGGAUUUUUACAUUGUCCUGAGUUGAAACUAACAAAAUUUAUUAUUUUAUAGUGAUUAUAAAUAUAUCGAGUAUUAAUUCAUAGAGGUUCUACUGUAUAUGGAUAAAUUUUUAUAGAUAAGUUUGUCAGUUGUGAUAAAUAUUUAAUUAUAUAACUCAGGUUGUUAAAGUUUUAUAAUAUUGAAUUCUAGAGACAAACCUAUUUCAGAUCCGGUGGUUGACGAUUAUUUGGCCACUAUGUUUAGGGUUCGAUGUCGAGAAAAAAUGUGAAAAUAUAUAAAGUAUCAGUAAAAGGUUACCGGAAAUCUCUAACUUAGUGUAAGUUGAAUUGUUCAAUGGAUUUGUAUAUGUUACGACCACAACUGUUUAUCAUGAACAUGGUACCAUGUAAAACCGUUUAUCAUUUAUUUCUAUAGUGUGAAUAUAACUCUGUUGUAAAGUCAUCCAUACAAAAAAAAAAAAAAAUUGUAGGAUUUUCAGUUACAAACCAGACGACAAACAAAAAAAAAACUAGAUCAAAUAAUGAAAAUUGUAUACCAAAAAGCUUUAACCAAUUUGAAUUAAAAAGCAAGUGUCCUCAAGUAAUACCUUCAUCAUCAUCUGAUCAUCUUUUGGUUUUAGGAAAAGAAUUAAGCCCAUUUUACAAGAGUUCAAAUCAGAUUGGAAUUUAGAAAACCCACUUUACAAGAGUUCAUUAUAAUGAAGCUAAACUACUAUAAUUCUAAAUCAAAAAAGGACUUUUUUGCUCUCUAUUCACACACACAUUAGUGAAUCUUAAUCCGAUUAAAGACACAGAUUUUAUGUUUCUUUCUUAUUAAUCAAACAUACAUAUAUAUAUAUAUAUAUAAGAGUUCAAGACAGACCACCUAAAAUUAGGAAAAACAGAGCAUAGCAAAAACUAAAAAAAAAAAAAACAACUUGGCUGACAUGUUUAGGUUAAAGAAAGUACUACAAACAUGCUUAAUAUUAUUAACUAACAACAUUUUCUGAAAUACAGAAGAACCAUUAUCUGAUUUCUUCUGCAGGUUUAUUCAUAUUUGAUAAUUUCUUGAGAUUUAGUCUCGAACCGGCAAAGGUGGGAUACUCUGCUCGUGUCUGAAGAAGUUCUCUGGAUCAACCUUUGAUUUAAUCUUCAUCAAUCUGUUGAAGUUGCCUUUGAAGUACUUAGCUCCCCAGACUUGAGCUUGCUUGAUGCUUGACAUGGCGGUUUUCUUGUUCUUUCCCAGGUCUAGAUCUCUGUAGUUCACGUAGGAUUGUCGUGGAUUGCUUGAGACAUAGGGCGUCAUGAAACUGUAGAGAUCUCUGAUCCAGUUGAUGUGUCUGCUCGGUCUCUUGUCACUGUCUGGCCAACUCGUUACGUACUGAAUCUUGAAGAUGACUCCUUUUCUAUGCGGAAAAGGGAUUUGUGACUCAGGGAUUCUCGCCAUCAUUCCUCCGUAAGGAUUCCAUAUCAUCAUUGGUAUGUCUUCUUUAAGCAACUUUUGAAAGAUCCCUUUAAGCCCUGAUUCAGGAAUCGGCUUCUUGACGAAAUCGGAUUUGGCUUUGAAGUUGAUCUUUGGGAAAGGAGACUUCCCUUGAAGCAAAACAUGAGUAGGAGUGCGGCUAGAGAAUCCAGAGAUGUAAACAAUAGAUUCGAGCCAGCUCAUUUCGAUGCAAUCUUUAGGUGUUAGACCUAGCUCCGGGAAGCUCUUCUUCAUAACAUUCAUCAACGCGCCUUUGUUUCCAAGAAACACAGCAUUGUACGACGUCGUCGCGGUCUUGUUCCCGUUGUUUCCAGCUACGUUGAAGAUCACUCUGAUGAAUAGCUCAUCAACAAGCUUGUCCGCGACCAUUUGCCACUUUGAAAGAAUCUUGUUGCCUGCGUCUUGUUGUAACGUUUUGGUGACGGUGAAAACGGUUACAGUCUUUGGAACAGGAACAAGCUUGAUUUUCCAUGCAAGAAUUAUGCCAAAACUCCCUCCUGCACCUCCUCUAAUCGCCCAAAAUGUAUCAUCUCCCAUUGCUUUUCGGUUGAGUACUUUACCGUUAGCAUCAACGAUCUUUGCGUCUAGAACAUUAUCUGCACCAAGACCGUAUUUCCUCAUCAUGGAACCGUAUGCACCGCCUGUUAAAUGUCCACCGAUGCCUAAGCUCGAGCACAAACCUGCCGGAAACCCAUGUACUCUGCUCUUCUCUGCAAUCCUACAGGUAAAAAAAAAAUAGUUUGAUCAAAAUAUACAAUCAAAAGAUUCAUCGUAAGAAUACUAGAGAUAACUUGGCGAGCAAGAUGUGUAUCUUGUUCUCCAAGGUAUCUCUAAUAAAAAGAUUGUUUUGCCUUAAUUUAUAUACUUGUAAUAAAGUUCACCAACUGUAGCACCAGCUUGAACCCAAGCACUAUUGUCUUUAAUGUUGAUGUUGAUCUGUCUCAGUUUCGACAGGUCCAUCACUAUAAACGGUCUUUCCAUCUCUGAGACAUAAGACAAGCCCUCGUAGUCGUGACCGCCACUUCUGACACGGAAAUGAAUUCCGAGUUUCUUGGAACAGAUUAUAGAAGCUUGGACUUGAGACUCGUCGAGAGGUUUGAAUAUGAAUCCUGGUUUAGGCAUGGAUUUUGUCAAGAACCGGAGAUUCUGAGCUGUGGAUUCAAGAACUUGGCUGAACAUAGAGACAUUUUUCGCUGGUGCGAAAAACGUGUUUUCGAGUGGGAAAUAAACAUGAGUGUUUCUGUGAAGACAGUUGAUGAAUUGGUCUUGCAGGGAAGCUGAAGAAGUUGGUGUUAUGGUGUAAAGUGAAAAAAAUAAGGCCAAUAUUGAAAGAAAAGAAAGCACAGGGGAUGGUUUAGAAAGUGCCAUUCUUUUUUGUUAGGGAGCUCUGCUCUAUUGCUUGCUACUCCUUGAUACCAAUUGCAUCUGCAAAAAUUCAGUCUAUAAAUGGAUAAAAAAAAUCUAUACCUUUUUACACGCUCUUCUAAAAGUUUCCACAAAUGUAAAACUUUUUGUUUGUUCUCUAUGAAAAUUAUUGCCCAAAGGCCCAAACCUUUAUGAUAAAGUAGUCACAUUGAGUACCAAAACUGAAGGAAGUCAAAUUUUUCAUCAUUGGAUUGUUGAUUUUAAUGAUACCACUAAGAACUCAGUGCCCAUAUUAAAGGUAAAAGUAUACAAACAAAGUUAUUCGUAGAGACUUACCAACUUGACCGGAGUUAGUUACGUUUCACGGUGGAGACGACGACGACUGAGACUGAGACUGAGACUGAGUCAAGAAUUUAGAAAUAUUGAGGAAAUAUGAAAUUGGUCGUUCAGUUUUAAACGUCAGUGACGGCUAGUGUGAGACAACCAAAAUAUUUUCAAACUGACCUAACGUGACGUGACAGACAUUUUUGUUCUCUUGUGUUUGAAAAGCGUUGCAGUUGGUAUCUGUAAAAAACUAGAAGUUUAGGUGGCAAAAUAUUCGUGAUAUCCUUGUUUUGAGCAGUUUUUGUGUUUUGGUUUAAUCUGAAAAAUCCAGAAUAAUUAUAAUUUAUUUUUUGUUAAAGGUAUAAUUAUAUAAUUGUAUAAUUAUUAUUAUUUAUAAAGUAAAAAUACCCCAAAAUACCAUUAAACAAAUAUCAAAAUUUAAACCAAAUUAAAGUAAACAUAAAAUUUAAUUAUUAUUAUAUUAAAAAGUAAAUGUGGUAGAUAACCUCGCUCGUGUUCAUAAUUAAUUAGAAAAGACAAUAUUAUACUAUUGCGCAUUUUUCAAUAUGGCACUCUUACCCCUAUAUAUCCAGCUCGAUUUUUCUUAUCUUUUUCUUCUUUCUCUCUACCUUUCUCCACAAAUAUUUGACAGCAACCUUUUUUUGAUGUUGUUUCUAUUCCUCAAAUAUUUCAAUGCAUAUCUGCUCAACUAUUGUUCUCCGUGCUCUAAUGGUGUAAAAGACUGAUUUUUUUUUAGCUUCUGCAAUAUAAGUUUUUUUCAAGUUCGAUUUGAUUUCUCCGAGAGAACUAAUCAAAAUUGCUGAGUUUAUCUAAAUUAAAGUUAUUUUAGUUUUGUCAGUUCUCUGAAAUUAUAUAUUUGCUGAUGUAAAUUAGAAAUUAUGUUUCUUCUCUAAAAUUAUGGAUUUGAGAUUGAGAGAAAGAUUAUUGAAGACGGAGAUCUCGAUUGAGUUACGUUAGGAAAAUGUUAAUCUGAAAGUUAACAAUCAACAAUUUUAUUACUCUAUUAAUCAAAUAUUAGAGAUCUAUUUAAUAAUUAAUACCAUCCAAAAAUCAUUUUAACAUAUCAAAAUAAUAUAUAGCUGGAUAAUAUAUAGUUGGUUAUCUUUGAAUCCAAAAGUUGCACUCACUCCAAAUUAUCAUUGAAUUUUGAAUUAGGAUUCUAAAUUGAGUGUUAGAUUGCUAAUAUUUUGUAUAGAUGAUUACAAUUUAUUUACUAUACCAUAUAAAUAUUUUGAUAUAUCUUUAAUAUUCCACUUAACAUGUUAACUAUAUUAUUACAUAAUAUAUAUUUAAAUUAGUACUCGAUAAGCCAAGCCAAAUAUAGCAACUGAAAUUAAACACGCUAACAAAUUGUAUAGUUUCAUAACAUGUUAUGUAAUUUUAUAACUUAUAUGUUAACAUAUAUGAGAUUAAAAGCAGCGCACUAAAGAAUUAUUUAGACUGCUUACAUUUAAUGUAACUGUAUAACUUAUAUGUUAAUGGGUUCUCAUGUAAUCAAUUAUCGAACCAAAUAUAGCAAUUCAGAGAUGUCAAAGAAUACAAAAAUCUUUUUUCUUUUAAGAAUACAGAAACUUACCAUACUAACGAAGUAUGUAGUUUGAUAAGAAGUUAUGUAAUUGUAUAACUGAUAUGUUAAGUAAAAAAGAAUGAUGAAAGAGAAAGUCCAUAUGAAAAAAUACUCGUAACAAAAGAAGGAGAUGGUAAAGAGUAAUAACACUCUCAAAGUGUCAAACCAAUAUCAUACUAAUUUACUGUUUUUCCUAUUUUGCUAAUUUUGACCAGAUUUUAGAAUUUUUAGAAAUUGUCUCUAUAUUAAAAGCUUUGAUAUGUUUAUGAACUGAUGAACAGAGCAGAUUGGAUACACUAUAUAGUAAAUAAUUUCAUAUUCGAUAAUCUAAUAAAUACAAUAAAUGAAUAAAUAUAUAUGUUCCUGAAUUAGUUUGUUUAAAUAUAAUAAAACUUGAUAAAAGGUUUCUUUUAAAAAUAUUAUGUAGAUAUAUGGUCCUUUUUGAUAUCGUAAAUCAAUAAUUAAUGCAUAUAAAUUUUUUACAAUCAUAAAAAAAAAAUAGUUUAACAAAAUAAAUUAUAGAGUUUUUUUUAUUCAAAGUGAAGCUCAACUCUAAUUUUUUUCCUUGUUUCAGAAAUUUCCUGGUGUUGUUUUAUCGAAUUUUCAACUAAAAUUGCAUCUACACUAUAAAACAUGUAUGUUCGAUAAACGAAAAAAACCUGUCUUAACCAAAAAUCUAAUAUUAGUAAACAGAAGAACAAAGCAAAUAUAAAAAUUAAAAAUUUAAUCAAUAAAUAUACACGUAAAAGUAAAAUUUUAAAUUAAAAAUAGUAUUGUAGAAGAUUAUGGAUUUAAAAACACUUCUAAAUUAAUAAUUUAUAAAUUAAUAAAACACUCAGUAAUAGUAAUUUAUAGAGUGGAUAUUUGGACAUAGAAUAUUCAAUUUGAUCUAGAGCAGAUACUGAUCAGAAGCAAUUUUCUUCGCUGGUUGGUCAAAUCUCAUAUACCGACACGAUCUUGUUCUGUUAGGGUUGGGUUAGGUGAUUGGGUCAGGUCGAUUUUUAUAAAUGAGAUGUAGAAAAGAACAAAAAAUGGGUUCUUCAUUCCAUAUACAAUUUAUCAAUGACUGUCCAAAUCCACCAAAUUCGACAAUAAUUGUUUUUAUUUGAUGGGUUACGAUCACGUGGAUUAGGUCCAUUGCAACCAUUUUUAAAUAACUAAAUCCUGAUUAGACAGGUCAAAUUGUCAAUUCUGAACCACGCUCAAAAAUUAGAGCACGACAGUACUUGAAUAAAUGAAAAUUCUUUCAAAAAAAAUAUAUUAUCUAAAGAGUGAUUUGCAUCAAUAUUCUGUUUGGAAUCAUCAAUUAGGAAAUUACAAGCGAAAGACAGUCAAUUAUGUCUAUAGCAGAAGUUAAUGAAAAAAAAACAUGUGGAAAUAACGAGCUAAUCCUUGCCUCCGAAAAGAAAACAACGCUUUUUCUGACCCCAGAUAGGACCACACCAGUUUACACACAAUGACACGCUACCAUGCUUCCCAAACACUAACAAGCGAAACUUUUGGCUUUACUUUCUCCAUCCAAACUCGAACCUUUGUCGUUUAGUAUGGGGUUGUACAGAUAGGUUUAUAGCGUGGGGUCUUGGGUGAGCCACAUAAAUAGACAGAAGCUCAUAAUAUCUUACACCGUCGCUAGUAAACAACAUUGUUAUGAUUUGUCUACAAAGAAGAUUAACGAAGGUAUGACUACUCCUAAAUGAAUAUUGUGACUACUUUUGAGUUAGUAGUUAGUUAUUUAGUGUUUGUUUUCUUUGUGGUGAAUGUAGAUGUUGGGGAGACAAAUAGUUUUGCUUGUGAGGGGGAAAUGGUUCGAAGGCGGGAAUGGAGUGUGGACUUUUCUGACGGAGCGCACAGGGAAUAACCAAGCUGUUUUUCUUAGCUCAAGGAUGAAGUUCAAGAAAGUGGUGAAGCUGACUAAAGAGAAAAUGGGGAUACACGAAGACGUCGGCGUAGCUCUUACUUACCAGUGGCCCUCGUACAUGCUUAUGGACGACGGAAGGGACGCACCACCAGUCUCCAUACGAACGGACGAUGAUGUCGCCCUUUUUGUUGAAAUGAGGUCCGAGAUUGACCAGCUGAAUCUCUGCAUCACCGCGGAUGAUGACCAGCUGAGUGAGGGUGUGAGGGAGUCUGCAACAAGGGAGACGGCUAUGGUUGUCUAUGAAAAAUCAGCCGAUAACAAAGCAGAUAACGAGGGUAAUAUAUUAUAACUACUUGACUAUAACGUAGUUAACUAUUAUGUCAAAGUAGUUAUAUUAAGACAUUUAUAAGUAGACAUAUACUACGUACCAUAGCUAUCUUUAUUAGCUGACGUUUUAAAUCAUGUUGUGUGCAGGAGAAUCUGGUGGAAAAGAUAAAAGCGAUGAAAACAAAGAGGGUAAGAUCUUAGAACUAGCUGUUUAUCACGUAGUUGUCUAUUACACUUAAUAUGCCCGAACUAACGUUACAAAGUAGAUGAGUACUAUCUAAGGUGAUAUAAACGCAAAAACGGUAUACAUCUAUAAGUAGACGUUUAUAAUGUGGAUUAUAAAAAAUUUACAAGUAUGAGAUCUGUAGUAAUAGUAAACAGCUAUUGCUAAUUACAUAAUAAUAGACGUUGUCGAUGUUGGUUAUAAAGUUUGAAUCAAUGUGUUAUAUAUUACUAGUAAAUAAUUAUCAUCUGACCACUAUAAGUAAACGUAUACUAUGCAAAUGAUUACCUUUAAGUAGCUGAUAUUUUAAGUCAUGAUGCAUACAGGAGAAUCUGGUGAGAAAGAUGAAAGCGGUGACAAUGUGGAAGAGCAUGUAAUUCGUCUGGAUGGAGAGUUGAACUUUCUGGUGAGUGAUGAUGACUCAGUUGAGGGGAGGAACGUAGAGUUCAACGAGUCUGCCAAGGAUGAUGAAGACUCGGUGAAGGAUCAAGAUGAGGUGGCAAAAAGACGAGCGAAAGGAAAGGACAAAGUGCAAGAAAACGAACCAAAAAAUCAAGGCCCACAAAAAGGGGAAUGUAGCAAUCAUUCCGCCCGUUACAGCUGCGCCGACGAGACCAUUAAUGGGGUCUUCAAUGAGACAGAGGAGUUCCCUGCCAUGUUUGGGAGGGAUGCUCCCCCAAUCGUAGAUGAAAUUUCUGACGACGGUGAGUAGUUAUUUAUAUAUGAGUAGUUACCAAGUAGUACACUACGUCUAGGAAAUAAUCAGAUUGUGCCUUUGAUAAUGCAGGAAUUGACAGUGCCUUGACGGAUGUGCGGUACGAGGGGGACAGAAUUUUCGUAGGCAGGAUUUUCCGUAACAAAGUGGAGUGCAAUAUUAAGAUGGCCAUCCAUGCCAUCAACAGAAAAUUCCAUUUCAGGACUCCACGUUCAACUCCAAGCUAUAUGGAGUUCCUGUGCGUUAAUCACAGCUGUCCAUGGCGGGUCUAUGCUUCCCUGAUGGAUGCGACAGGGAACUUCCAGAUUAAGAAGGCCACGCUUAAACACACAUGCCCCAUUGAAGACCGCCGGAAGUAUCACAAGAAAGCAACAACGCAAGUGAUUGGUGAGCUGAUCUCCACAAGAUUUGUGGCAGGGCAGCGAGGACCGGGUCCAAUAGAAAUUCAGCGCAUAAUGCUCCAAGAGUUCCAGGUCUUGUUUAUGGAUGACACCAUAAUUUCCUAUCAUGAUUACAUUAAUAGUCUUCCGUAGUUAACUACCUGUAGUUAUAGGUUUCUAGUUGAUCAGACAGUAAUUGUCUACUUGUAUUAUGUAGGUUAACAUCUCUUACUGGAAGGCGUGGAGGUGCAAGGAACUGGCACUUGAAAAAGCGUUUGGAUCAGUUUCUGGAAGUUUUGCUUUGCUCCCUUCGUACCUGGAAAAUCUUCAGAGCUCCAACCCGGGAACGGUUUGCAUGACAGAGUUCGUUGUGGACAAGAAUGGUUGCAAAGGUUCAAGUACCUUUUCAUCGCGUUUGCUGCUUUAGUUGCUGGACUGAAAUACUUGCGACCCGUGGUUCUGAUCGAUGGUAAGUAUUCGACUAUAAAUAGAUACCUACUUUGAUAGUUGACUAUGAAACAUUCAUAAAUUAUUUUAUCAUACUUUCAUAUCAGGGACACAUCUUGUGGGCCGAUAUGGUGGCUGUCUGAUUUGUGCAAGUGCUCAAGACGGAAACUUUCAGAUCUACCCGAUAGCAUAUGCUGUUGUAGACAGCGAGAACGAUGCAUCUUAUGAAUGGUUUUUCAAUUGCUUGAAAACCAUCAUUCCGGAUAGCAGCGCCGUUAUGUUUAUAUUUGACCGUCAUGAUAGCAUAUACUCAGGGCUUAGAAAGGUUUGUCGUAGACAACUACUUUUGUUAAUAAUUAUAAUUAUAUAUACGCAUACAUAUAGUUAACGAUGUAAAUGGUGUAUGUAGGUGUACCCAUCGACGGGCCAUGGUGCUUGUCUAGUCCAUCUGGCGAGGAACAUUACAACCCGAUUCAAAGAGAGCCGUCUUCCAUCUCUUAUGGUCAGAGCUGCAAAAGCUUACACAGUGUAUGAGUUUCGGCAAAUAUUUGCAAAUUUGGAAAACAUCAACCCUCGUUGCGCCAAGUAUUUAAUGGAUAUGGGAUUACCACACUGGACUCGGGCGUACUGCAUUGGCGACCGCUACAACAUCAUGACUACUAAUGUAGCCGAAUCUUUGAACAAGGUAUUGUAGGAAUGCCGUGAGUUCCCCCUAAUCUCAAUGCUUGAGGCGAUAAGAAUGAGUCUUAUCAGUUGGUUUGUAAGGAGGAAUAGUGCCUCAGCCGCUGAAAAUCAUGCUAUAAAUCCCAAAGUUCGUGAUAUUUUGGACGACAACUUCUAUGGUUGCACCGAACUGAAGGUAAACGUAUACGAUUAUUGUCUUCAAUUUAGUUUUAACCAACUAUUGAUAUCUAACUAUCAUGUAAUGAAGGUGGUUGCUGUGGGAAGCGAUGAAUACGAAGUUUACAACAGGAAGGGGGACUGGUUCGAAGUGAACCUAGUUUCCAAGUCAUGCAGCUGCAGGGAGUUCCAAAUGCUACUCAUUCCAUGCCGCCAUGCAAUUGCUGCUAGUUCUUGCUGCGGCAUUGAGAUCAAUAAGCUUGUGGGAGAGGUGUACACAACAGAAUACCGGAGAGCCCUUUAUGACGGCGUUUUUCACCCAGUGCCAACACCGGUGAGUUCUGGUAACGAGUUGCUUCCUCCAUUAAUGCGCAGGCCACCGGGGCGUCCAAGGAAAAUCAGGAUACCAUCCUGAGGAGAGUUUAAGGUAAAAUGAUGAAAAAUAUAUCCAACUAUGUUGUAGACAACUAUGUUUAUUGAAAGAGAACUAAUUAAUUAUGAAUGAAAUAGAGGCAUGCAAGGAAGGCGGCAAGGAUUUGCAGCAGGUGUCAGGGAAAGGGUCACAACAAAGCUUCUUGCAAGCUUCCGGUCAAGGAUAAGUCAUGAUUGUGUCAGGUGUUGUUUUGGAAAGAGACAGGGAGACUCGGAUAUGAUGCACUUCAAAUUUCAAGUGAAGGGACUACAUCUUGUUUAGGUGUAGGGCCUAAAUCUUGUUUUGCAAGUUUGAAGGUUUUUUUGAUACAAUGCAUCUCUAUGUUUAUGAUUUAAUUCCUGCGGAAUUGUUUGGAUUUGUAUUGCCUCUAAUACACUUCUCCCUUAAUAUUCUAUGAUUAUUGGAUUUGGAGACUUCAUAUUCCUCACCUAUUUAGACUAUUUUGCAUAGGGUGGAUAGGAUAGUAUUAUAUUUGUAAUACUAAUAGUCAACUAAUUAUUCUAAGUAGUUAGUUCUAAAUUGAUCAUCAUGAAUUGGAUAAGAUAGUAUAAUAUUUGGCAUACUAAUAGUCAACUAAGUAUUCUAAGUAGUUAGUUCUAAAUUGAUCCUCAUGAAUUGCCAUAGUAGGUCUACUAAACCCCACGUAGAACUACUCGUAAUACAUGGACGACCACUAGUAAUUGUCUACUAUAGUAGUUACAUAAUAUUAAGUACGUACUCCAAAUAAGUAGCUAAACUAACAUGAGUUCAUCGUAGGUAUUAAAAUAUAAACAAAGAGUACCUUCAUAAUUCCACAAAUAAGUUCAAGUUGUUAAGGUGUCAAAUAACACACCAUAAAAACGAUGCGAAAUAAACAUUCAAACAUAGAAUAAGUUCCAACAAGAUAACAACAUUCCAACAACUUUUUAAAAAAAUGACAAUGAUAGCGUACAUAGUACGUCGGUUUGACAUGGUUGGGAAUCACGAAGACGGUUUGAUCAGGCAAAGGAGAUCGUAAGCAAAUUUAAGAGCAGCAUCACGAACAACAUCAUCACCGAUAUCCAAAUCAAGUGAUAUAUUGGAAGAGUGUAAUUGUAGGGACAUGAGCGUCAUCAAGCCAAGUAGCCCUGCAAAUAAGAGUUAGCUAUUUGUAAGUGAUACCGAUAUAGAUAACUAAAGGUAAUCAGAUAAACAUAUAAUUGACUACUUGUAUGUUAUUAACUUACGAAAAUGAUAACACACCUAGGUUCAGUGUCUGGAACAUCGGUUUGACGACCUUGAUUGUGAACGCGGUAAGGAUGUCUGAUUUCAUCUCGGUAUUGUAGGCGACUUUCCUAAUGAAAUGAGUUAGGCACUGAGCGAGAGGGGAUACACUGGUUUUAAGCUUCAUCUCCUUAAAAGUCUCAUAAGGAUUGAGGACAAAUAUCUCAUGGCUCUCAAAAUCGAUGCAUAAACCAACCCAGUAUUUACUGUCCACUUCGUAGGGGCAGUAUAUACGACCAAUCUGAGUGCACCACGACCGCAUAGAUUUGACAUAUUCAAGAGCACCAGUCGGUAGUGUGACUGGUUUCUUUUUAGCCGGGUUUAUGAACUUCGGAUGGAGCUCUUCAAUCUGGUGAAUGAAGGCAUACUCAACGAAGUCAACUUUCGAAUGGCUUUUGUUAAUUUCAGAAAUAUGAUGUCGGAACAACCUAAUGACGCUGUCAAUAGACUAGCAAGAGAGAUAGAGUUGGUUAGUAUUCAGCUAUAUGUAAACGGAUAUUAGUAGUUGCAAUAAAUGAACUACUAGUAAAUGAUUACCACGGAAGAUAUGGGGAAUUUCAGGGAUACUAUCUCUUUCAGUAUGUUCACCGAGAGGAAUAUCACAUCCCAGCAAUCCAAUUUCCUACACAAAUGAAACAAAUAUAUAUAUGUAUAUGCAUUACGUUCUUUCGAAAUUAAUCAACAGUCGUUUAUUACCGACUGUCUUCCAUCCUUGCUUGAAGGAAAGUGAGUUGCUUAGGAGUGGGUGGCGCGAAUAAAUAACUCAAGUCCACCGAAUUGUCAUUCUUUUUAGAUCGUUUUGGGCGAGGAACCACGUAGUCUGACAUUGUGGUUGAAGGUUGGGCUACUCGUUUACUUUUACGGACAGCUUGAGGCUCCUCGCUUGGAAUCUUAUUGGCCUCUACCAUGUUUUUUUCUUCUUGUGUAAGACCGAGUGACCAAACAAGAGGUUCAACUCCUUCAGGGAUUUCGCUAUUUGUGUCGGGCUUUACAACAUCCGUAACCUACCACCAAGAAGACAUAGUCGUUCACUGACACAGUUAACUAUUAUUAGCUAAUUAUCUGACGACGAGCACAAACCUUUUCUUGUUGUGGGAGUUCACUGUUGGUUUGUGCUGGGAUAGGGGGCUCUUCCACUGCUUUAAGGUGCUCAUUAACCAUCAAAUUAAAAAGAAAACUACGUUACAUCUGUUUAUGAAUUAUACGACUAUUAAACAUAUAAAAGCUUACUAACAAUUGCACGAUCUUUUAAUAGUAUUACAGACUUGACAGGUGAAGGGUUUACGUCUCUAAUUUGGUCAUCCUCGCCAAACACCUGAUCCGUAAAGGGAAUCCCAGAGUUGACGGCGGAAGGAACUGUGGUAUAUGCCUACAAUAGAAGUUUACAGGUAAGUCAGUAGUUGAUCACACACUAAGGUAAUUGAUUACUAGUAAUCAACUUCUUACCUCGUAAGUGUUAUUCGCUAAGUCUGAAAGAACCGAAGCUAUCUGGUUAUGAGCGAUGGUCGCCUGGUCCAAAGCAGGAGAACCGACCAUGUCCAUCAGGGACUUCGCCUGGUCAGCUGGUGCAUUUACAUCACCUUCAUGCACUCUAUUACCACCAUGCUCUAGUCCUUCAACAUCUGAUUCAAUAAAUAGAAAUGAGAAGUGAACAUAAACUAAUAAUCGGGUAAUAAUUGUAAGUACUAACCAUCAUCGUCAUUCUGGUCGUCAUUCUGACCUUCGUUUUCAAUUUCUUCACCAUCGAGAUUCACUUCUUCUGAUUGAAUACAUAAAUAUGAGAAAUUGAAAAUUCAUCUCAGAAUUGUAUAAUAGUAGUUGAAUACUAUAAUAGUUAUCUAUACGUAUACAACUAACCAUCUGCGUCAUUAUGAUCGUCAUUCUUUCCUUCGUUUUCGUUGCCUUCACCAUCAUGCUCUAAUCCUACAACAUGAUCCUCUUAUAAAGUAAAUGAUUACUAGUGAUGAAUUACUAAUAUAUAACUAACCUUCAACAUUCUCCUCACCAUCAUGGUUUCCUUCUUCAUUAAAGUCAACAUCUUCAUUACCUCCAUCACCAACAUAACUAUCAAUGCCGUCAUCACUAUCACUGUCACCACUGCCCGAAGGCUUGCCCUUAGCUGUGAUCUCGUUUGAUUCAGAUGACUUUGUUUCUUCAGAAGAAGAAGAAACCUGGGCGAACCUUACAUGGGUGGAUUUCUUCGGCAGAAAAUUGGGAGGCGUAGGUUUCGUAGGCAACGAUUUCUUCAGUUCCCCGGUGGAAUAUUUCUUUGCUUGCCCGGUGGAAGAUUUUUUUGGUUCCCUGGUGUAGUUUCUUUCGGUUUAUACCCUUGUAUAUCAGAAAUUGCAAGCUUGAAGUUCGACAAUGCUGUGGAAACUUCUGAACGGAGAUUGCCGAAAUCUUCUCGGAGGUUUUUCAGCUCCUGUAAAAUCAAAGAAUGUGAAACAUCGAGCUUGUCAAGAAUUGCAGAGGCAUCAGAAUCCUUUAAAGGACCCUCGCAAGGUGUGCUACGGGAAGAUGAGGCUUGGGUCUUCUCCUGUUUUUUAUGAAGGCUUGAUUUUUGACCACCAUUCCAUUAUUUCCUUGUAAAUUUGUCACCUCGUGAAAUUGCUGCAAGCAAGUUGUCUACGCGUUCGUCGGAGACAUCAUCAUCCAUUCCCAAAUCGGUUUCAGCAAACAAGUUCUCAUCGUCAGGUAAAAUUGCUUUCACCUUCACCUGAUAUACCGAGAAAAUGUUAGGUAAUCAACUACAACAAUACACCUACAUGUAAUCAACUACUUAUAUAUACUAGUCUCAAUACACUCACUCCAUAGUAAUAGACAUAUAAGGCAGCAUUGUGACAUUGUGAAUGAUAAGUAGUGUGUGACUACUAGUAUAGGAUUACAAUUAUAUGUCUAACAUUGUAUGUAUUCAAUGAAAUGUAGGUGACUAUUAUGUAAUUCAGCAAAAGUGGUACAUUUACGUCCUUAUCAAGAUGCUUCACAUGAGGCAUUGAUAUGUUCACUGGCUUCGCACCACCAGGACGUAUAAGCGGGGAUUCAUCCUCUUCGUCUUCAUCGUCCCCCACCGAUUUACCCUUACCCUUAACAUCCUUAACCAAUAUAAUAGGCGCACACUCCAAAAUCACCAUCUGUAGUGCAUGUAAAAAACCCUGAAAAGCACAAAUGGGCUGGAGAAAAUUUGAAGGGGUAUUUGUCUUACUUCUGAUGCAGUCCAUGGUCAAAUCAAAUGAUUUACGACCUCAAGGAUAUUCAAGGAAGUUGUCAACAUCUUUAACCAUUAAGAUGUGUUCGCCACUAAUCCUAGCGUUUCUAGACGUGGGACACAAUACACCGUUGAUGAGGAGUAGGCAUGCGAGGUUAAAUCUGGUUUCCUUGUCCUUGUAUGGUCUGCCAGCAAGUGUGCUCGCUAUCCACCCAUGAGUUGCGUUCGCACUUGAACCAAAUAACUUCUUCGUAUGCUUUUUCAGCUUCCUCUCGUUUAAUUCACGCUGCGGAGGCAACUUUGAACAAUCCAAGCCGGUGGCAAUUGCAAACUCACGAAUUGAGAACCGAAUGGGCUGACCAGCAAAGAGACACCACAACUCUUUUUUUUUUGUAACCAACUGCCUAGAUAACAUGAAAUGCAGGAAUCUCACUGAAGAUGCAAUCUUGUUUCCAGUCUCUAUAAUUUUGCCAAAUUGGGAAGAGGAAAGCUUCUCCAAAUGGUCUUCUUCCAAAGCGCAAGUGAUUGUGUCAAUAUAAUUCAGCUGAAAGUAAGUGUUGACCUUCUUAUUCUCAGGUUCAUUGCCUAAGGCGAACAGCCUAUCCGGCAACAUACUCAUCGCUGCCCUAAAAACAACCAAUAAAAACAAUUUUAAUUUAAAGUAGUUGAUUAUGCAUAGGUAUUUUUCUUUUAUUAGUAGUCUAGUAUGAUCGAGUACAUUUAGAAGUUUUCUAAUUAUUCCCUGAAAAGGCUAUUAUAAUCGUAAAGGGAAGAAAAACUGAAACCCAUUCGAGUACAAAAAAAACGAAAUACACACCGACGCUGAGAUCUAAACAACGUUUUUAAAAAUUUGUUUAUGGGUAGUUGAUUAUUCAUGGAACACUACCGUUGGAUCUAGAUUUUUAUAUGAUGAAUAUAUACAGUAUUUGUCUACUAGUAUUUAGUUAUGAUGUGAAAAGACAAUCAUGACCCCGUCGCCCAGGGAGAAACCCUAAUCGAUUACAAAAAGACGAAUACCUAGCCACCCCAUGACAGAUCUGCGAGCACUUCAAUAAAAAAACAUAAACGACCAAACAUCUCAACAAAAAUACAGACCGAGUAAUUGUGUACUAAUAGUUUGUUAUCGGUGCCUGACAUAGAAUUCAUUUUCUUAUUCGAAAACAGAGAAGAAUAAGAGAUCUCAAAUGUACGAAUGGUAUGAACUUAAUUAAAUAAAGAUAUGCGGAAGAAAGAGAACGGCGGACCGUGUUAUACCUAACUUAAAGAACAGCGACGGCGAAAGCGAUGCGCCAGAGUUCUUGGAUUACGCCGGACGAAGUCGAAGUUCACCAGAAAAGAAACUUCGAUGUCAGGCGGAAAUUGAAAUAGGUUAAAAUGGAGGGGGACGGUGAGAGUUCAAGUGAAACGACAACAGAGAAAAGAAAAGGGCAGGGCAGUUGCUGAAGAAGUUCGGAGGUGAGAGAGAAAACUAAAGAAAAUGGCAGACGUGACAUGAUGAAGGGUAUUUAAAGAUGGCUUUAUGGAAGUUUUUUUUUUAAUUUACAAAAAAAAAUUUUAACGGUUACCAAAACAGUUGACACAAAAACAUUCUAAUUCUAUAAUAACAAAUGUAUUUAAAAGUGAGUUAAUAAUUCAAAAGGGAAACCAUAAGAAUAAGAUUUUUCCCAGAAAUCACGAAACCAGUAUUCAACUAUAACAUAAACUUAAUAAUAUCAAGAUAACAACUACAAUAACAUAAUAGCUGACUACUAGUAUUUCAUUACAACAUCAAUAUGAGGCAAGACGAACAUAGUCGUCUAUCGAUUGAAAACACUCUUUGCCAGCUGGUAAUGAACAUACAGGUAGCAAUGCUCACAGAUCAUCUGAUGCUUGAAACCACAUUUGGGGAAUUCGGAAAAAGGAUUGGGAAAGAUCACGUGCACCGUCGGCUCUUUGCAAGCUUCAAUCAAAUCCAUCACUUGAUUUGCAAUCCCUUCCAUGUACUCCAUUCGUGACUUCCAACCAACUAUACGGUCAAGGAUUACCAGCCCUCUCUCAUACAGACCAUAUGCAGUGCCGCAAAUUGCAAGCAUUAAAGUCGCAGUAUCGACUCCAGCUUUAGACGCUUUGCUAAAAAAUGUAACGGAACCCUCGAUAUCGUUAUCAACUGUAAUCUUGGUCAUGCUGCGGAGGUACAAUGAUGUCGGAUUACCGGAACUAAUCGCCGCCUCAAGAAACAUAGGGUACUGCUUCAUCAAACUGGGUUUUUGGACGAAGGCACUAAGGUUUAGAACCCUAAUGACAGAUGGUUCCUUGAAAGUUUUGUUGAGGAACUUACAUGAACAAGCAAACAAGCAAGCGUUUUUUGCAGACUCCCUAGCAACUCUUUCAAAAAUAUCAACCAGUGCAUCGCGGAUCUGAGGAAACAAUUCAUUUGUAAAGGGGUCCGGCUCGGAUAGUCGGAGAUUACGCAUAUCACUGAAGACAAAAACAAGAAAAUAUAGUCAACUACUAAUAGACGCCUAUUAACCUAAAAUGGUUUCAGAAUUAAAGAAGCCUGUAAAUGUGCGGGUUCCCUAAAUGUGCAGCAGAAAACGAUGGAACGAAACCUACGGGAAAUAGUGGAUCUACGAAAAUAAGAAGGGAUAACCUGAGAAUUGUAGAUCUAGAAAAAAAGACACAGUGGAGCACAAUGACGGUAUCAACUAUUCAUUGUCAAAGCAAAAAAACGAAAAGCGAAAAUUGAAGUGCAAAAUAACUAAAUCCAAGUGAAAAUCGACAGAUUGCCUUCCACAAAUCAUCGUCGAAGCAAAUGAUUCGGGCCCAUGGUCCGCUUCGCCUGAAAAAAUGACUCUGGUUCGCCGGAAGAAUAUCUCUGCCUCGCCGGAAAAAUGUGAAACAGAGAAAGGGGAAAAAUGAUGAGAGAGAAGAAAUGUUUGAACCGAUAAUGUGAGAAGAAAAGUAAAGCUUCUGUGUUGAAAUGGGUUUGUAAUUCGAAAUUUGAAAAAAGUAAGAAAGAGAAAACGCUGUUUGUCAGAGAAAAAGAAGCAAGUAUAAAACGUCUUGGUUAACGUUCAAAAAAUAUGUUACCGUGUUGUUGUGAUGAGGGGAUAAGAGGUAUUUUCUCAUCAAUAAAAUAAUGUUAUUUUAUCAAGCUAAUUUGCUUUUGGAUUGUUGCUACCACACCUAGUUUCCCAUAUCUAAAUAAGAAAGCAAAAUUGGACCUGAAAAUUAAAAAAAUUACUCCCUCUGUUUUAUUUUUUUACACAUAUUAAAAAACAGUUUAAUAUUCUAUUUUACCUCUUACUAAUAUAUUAUAUAUUUUUUCAUACUAAUUAAUUAGCUGUAAGAAUAAGGAUAGCAGUAGAAGUUUUCUUAAAUAUUUGCAUUGAAAAAUGUAAAAAGUGUAUAUUUCAAAACAAAAUAUCAAACUAAGAUGAUUUAUAUUUUAAAAUGGAGGGAGUAUAGCUUUUUUCAAUAUCAGGUGGAUUAUUUUUCCAUCAGAAAAAUGUUGGAUGGAAAUAAUACAUAAUUAAAAAAAUAUAUAAUACGUUAUAUAAUGUUUGGUUUAAUCGAUCAAUUACUCAUAAAUCAUAUGUUAAAAGAAGAUAAAACUGGGAAUUUUUUUACAGCAUCUGCCAUAAGUAUGUUAAGUAGGGGUGGCCAAUCUAAGUAAUCCACCUGACCCAACUUAAUCUAAUCCAACUAAACUCAUUUAGUUUGGAUAUAGGUUUUUAUAAAAACUUAUUUAAGUCUAAUAAAUUUUACUAAUUUGGGUUUGGGUUAUUUGGAUUGGUCAUUAAAUAUAUUCAAAAAAACUCAAAUAACGUUCACCUUUGACAUAUAGUAAUGUGUUUGUUUCAUUUCUUGAUUUUAUAUUUACAAUAUCAGGUAAUGAUUUUGUUUUAUUUCUAGAUUUUAUAUAAAAAAAAUUAUUGCAAUUGGCAUUAAGAAUUUAUUUUAUAUGUUAUUAUUUUUAUAAACAUUCAAUAACUAAAUCUAAUAUAAAAUUUAAAUAAUCCAAAUAAAAUUAGAUAUAAGUCUAUUUUGGAUCAAAUUAUUUAUGAUCCAAAUAACCCAAUUUUGAUCUAAAACUUAAAAAACUUAAUCCAAAUUCUAUGUAGAUCAAAUUUGGUCAAAUAAAUCUUAAAUUAAAUACUCUAAACCCAAUCCAAAACGUAAGAAAUUCAACCCAAAUCUUGGAUUGGCCAUCCCUAAUGUUAAGGAUAUGGAAAGGUUGAGAGGAUUUUUUUGUUUUUAUCAUAGGUUGAGAGGAGUUGGAGGCAUAGAUAGCUAAAGAUGAUCAGAAAUAUGGAAAAUCAACCAACAAAUAGACAAAAUGAUGGUAAAACUUAUAUAUAGGGAUCUACAAGUGCAUCAGAUAUUAUUUUAUGAGAAAUUGAUGAAUUGUUUGUUAAUGAAAGAACUUAUAUAUCAUGACAACAUCAGAUGCUAUACUGCUAUAGUCUUGUAAUUUGGGUUAUAAUGCCCUUACUCUAGUUAAAGUAAAAUUAUUCAUAUUUAUUCAUUUUCAACAAUCUCCAAUGGCUAGUUGAAUAAUUUAAUUAAUGUAAUGGAGAGUUGAAACAAUUGUUGAAAAUAUUGUGGGUUCAAUUUUGUUGAAACCAUUGAAACAAUUGUUGUAAAUGACAUGGAUUUUGUUGAAACCAUUUAACUAGUUAAUGUUGCUGACUCAGCGAAAAAAGUAGGAAAAAAUUGAAGAUUUGGGCAGAAGAAAAAAAUUAGGAACAUGUGGCAUAUAAAUGUUGGUUAAAAAAAUAGCGUAGAAUAAAAUCAAGAAUAAAGACAUUUGCUGUGUUGUUAUUAGUUGUUAAGAAUCAAGAAUCAAGAAUAAGAUUUUACACUUUAUUAUCUUAUCCAGAUUAUUCGAUAUCAAUUAUUUGAUCGUAAAUGUUUUUUUAAAAAAAAAUAUUAUUAUCAAAAUUCAUCAUUUUUCAUACUCUAUAAAUAGAAAUUUAGUUCAUUUGAUUUGGAUAAAAAAAAAUCAUCUUUUUACUAUAUUUUUCCUAUUAGCCUCUAAUAAACUCUUGUUAUAUCUUUUAUUUACUGAAAUGAAUCAUAAUAAUCCUUUUAACACCCAAAAUUCUAAUAACUAUCAUUUUGAUUACCCAAAUCCUAACAAUUAAUAUUAAAUAAAAAAUAAAAACAUAAAAAUAUAAAAUAAAAGUAAUGGAGUAAAGUAUUGAAUUUUAUUAAACAAAAAUAUUAUAGAGUAUAAAGUUGAAUGAAUGUUGAAUUAUUAAGUGGAAGAAAGAGAAGAUGAUGUGGAGUGUUAAAAUGAAAAAAAAAAAAAGUGUUGAGUAUUUCCACUAUUAUAGAUAGUCUUAUAGUAACUACAAAAGCAAGGUUAAUGUUAGUCCUUGAAGUCAUUUGGACUGGCAAUAGUUGACUGGCUGGUUUAUGUAAUAUAUUUAAAAUUUUAUUUUUUAUUUUAAGUUCUAACACUUUAUGAAAAUAUUCUUCGUAAAUGUGAAUUUAAAAUUUUUUGAAAAUAUGUAUUAGUUUUUAAGGUAUUAAAAAUUUAAAUGAUUAACUAGUCCUUUUUUCAGUGUCCCUAUAUUAUAUAUAUAUAUAUAUUUUUUUUUUUUUUAGAAAGAAAACUAAUUAUAAGUGUAUCAAACUGAAACACUGAUCUUGACAAACUAAACAAACGCAUAAAUACAAAUUAAUUCUUUCUUUGUCAUCUUAUUUUUCAUAUUUAUAUAUUACUAUUUUAAUUAUUUCUAAACCAAAUCGGAAUAUCAAAAAAAAUUUGGAUACUGAAUCCGUACCCACCUCUAAAUAAAAAUUCAUAUACAAGAAAACAGAUCCUACCCUUUUUCACAAAUUUGGUCUACUCCAGGCUCACUCCCCCAUUCUUGCUUCUUCUUUUUUUGUAGUCUCAAGCAGACUGCUUAGUCCACAUUACUAGAAUUUGGCUAACGAAUUUUUCCUUCGUAACCUCUCUUCCUCUAGCAAAUCGGCCAGAAACUUUAUGGCCAAAUUCUGUAAGAAAAAAACAAUGCUGAUAAUUAGUCUCUUUUGAAGUAAAUGCCGCUUAGGCUCUGGAUUUGACACCACCAAAGUAACUCAAUAUACAUAUUUCAGUAAAUGCCGUUUAGGCUCUCGUGGCGCAUAUUUAUUUUAGUCGCCAGAAACUUUUUUAUAGCUGGGAGUGUGGGACAUGUCAAUUAUUUCCAUUUAUUUAUAUGACUUUCAUUUUAUAAACAUUACUUUCAUUUUCUAAACGAAAAUAAAAUUAAUCCCACUCCCAUCUAAUUGGGAACUACACUAAAAUCUCAAUAAAUUGAUAACCAUAGUAAAAUAAUAAAUUAUGCUUCUUCAAACUAUACAAAAUAAUAAAAUGUAAUAAAAUAAUAGGUACUUACUUUUUUUAGAAAAACCUACGUAAAUAUACAAUUCCAAUAUAUUAUACAUUAAUAAUUAUGUAAUUUUUUUCAUAUAUAUAUAACUAAGAUAUAUACUAUACUAAAAUGUGACAUUAGUGUUUUUUUACUUCAAAUUAAUUAGGUUCUCAAGAAAAAACUCACAGAUUAUUUGAAAUAAAAUAAAUUUAAAUUAUUUUUAUAUAUCAUCAACAGAUUUCAGAAUUGGAAUACUCUGUUCAUCACAGAAGAAAUCCAUUGGAUCAAUACUCGUCUUCACUCUCACCAAUCUAUCAAAGUUGUUCUUGAAAUACUUCACUCCCCAAAUCUUUCCUUCUUCGUACUUUGUCUUCAUAUUUAUCCCAUGACUAUAAGUCCCCAAAUCAAUAUCUCUAAAAUUAACAUAAGCUCCUCUUGGUGACAUGGAAACAUAAGGAGUCAUAAAAUUGUAUAAUCUCUUGACCCAUCUCAAAUACUUCUCUGUAUCAAUCUUGUUCUUAUCUUCUACUUCAUUCCAAUAAGCCAAAUACUGAAUCUCAUAAAGGUUCCCUUCUCGAUGUGGAAAUGGUAUUUCAUAAUCAGCAAUUUCACUCAUUUUGCCACCAAAUGGAGUGAGUAUGAUCUUUGCCAGCCGAGCCUCAGGUGCGUAUAAUCGUCUCCAAAGCUCUCGAAUUGCGGUUUUAGGUAGUGGUUUUUGGAUAAAAUCAUCUUUUCCCUUGAAAGAUCUAGAUGUACGUUUCCGUUGCCUAAGAGUGUCCAUUGAUUCUCCUUUGAUAAACCAGAGAACAGACUCAAUCCAACUUAUCUCUCUACAAUCUCCAAUCUCAAGACCUAAUUCCGGAAACUUAUCAUCCAUCAUCGCCAAUAGAUCGCUUACCGGACCAAGAUAAAGUCCCGGGAAUGAAGCAUAAACCGUGGUUUUGUUUGAUCUUUGUAACAUAGCUCUAAUGAAAAGAUCAUUAGGUACCUUAUCCGCAAUAUACUGCCACUUGUUGAUGAUUUGGAUAGCCUUGUUCUCCGAUGUUUUCGUGACGUCAAAGACCGUUACUAGAGAUGGUACACUGACCAAUCUAAUCUUCCAUGCUAAAACUACGCAGAAACUUGAACCACCACCUCCACGGAUAGCCCAAAAGAAAUCCUCACCCAUGCCUUGUCGAUCAAGAAACCUUCCGCUUGCAUCGACUAUAUGAGCGCCAAUUACAUUAUCUGCUGAUAAACCGUAUUUUCUCAUCAGUGUACCGUACCCUCCACCUCCGAAUUGUCCUCCGACGCCAACGGUUGGGUAAAGACCGGCCGGAAAAGCCAAUGAUUUGCUCAAUUUCCCAAUCUCGUAGUACAAUUCCCCAAGUGUAGCUCCGGUUUGAACCCAACCGGUCUGGUUCUCAACAUCUAAUGUAAUAGACCGGAGAUUUCUCAAAUCAAUGACAACGAACGGUCUGCUUUUGGCUAUGUACGAGAAGCCCUCGUAGUCAUGACCACCACUCCGAGUCCUGACGUGGAUAUCGUGAAGCCGUGCGCAUUUAAUCGUGGAUUGAACAUCGGUGGCUUGAACCGGAGUGAUGAUUGAGACCGGUUUAGGUGUUUCAAGAACCGAGAAUCUUGGAUUUUGUAUGGAAGAAUUCAAGAUUGAGAAAAAGGAAGAGUCACUAGAGGUGUGUAUGAUUCUAGAUUCGCCGGUGAAGUUGUUUACCCGGCGAGAGAGACAGCUCAGAAAGUCGUCGUGGUUAGUCCGAUGAGCUGGAAUUGAAGCAAAACGAGCAAGAGAAAGAUUCAACAGAAGAAAAUGUGUAAAGAGAGAAAGCAAAAAGCUCACAAACUCCAUUUUUUGAUGCAGAGACUGAGGAAUUUGAGGAUAUAGAUAAGAUGUUUCUGAAGUGGGUUUAGGCUACAAGGUUAUAGUCAGGCAUAGCCGGAUAGUGUUUUUGCCUUGCCUCUAUCAUCUUCUUAAAUAAAGCCGAUUUUGACCACAAAAAAAGAACAAAAAAAAAGAUCACGUUUUAAGCAACAAGCUACAAUAAUGAUGUACUCUAUUAUUAAAGAACAUGAUUGAUUUCAGAGAUUUCUGACAAUUGAUUUUUUCUUUUACUUCAAAACUUUUUUUAAUAACAUGGUGAAUGCCAAGUACUGAUUUACCCAACUAAUGAAAGAAUUUAUUUCAAAAUUAUUAAUUAAAGUUGAACUGUUUAAAAAAACAAUAAUUUGCCGUACGGUUGGAGUUGGAUGUUACAACAUGCUUUUUUUUUUAUCAUGUCAUGCUUGGUGGUCCUGUCUCUUUAUGUAGGCCUUGUUUUUGCUUUCGACAUUGAUUUAAUUCGUUGGCUCAUGGUCCGUCUUCAAUGUCAUCACGAAUUUACAUCACUAUUUCGAUUUAGAUCGGUUAAAAUUUGUCCAAACAUUAUUAUUAAAAAAAUUGUAAUAGGUAUGGUAUGUAUAAUUGCAAAAGAAAAGAAAACAAACUCGGUAGGUAUGGAUUUUGUUUAUAAAAUGUUCUCUGAAAAAAAUGUAUAUCAUCGUGAUAACCAUCUACAUAUUACCAAAACACGUGGUGAUAUGUUUUAUAUUAAUUUUUGUGGCUCAACACCAUAUGUUUUACAUUCUUGUGACUAUAAAUCAAAUGGAUACGGGCAAGGCCACGAAUGCAAGAGCUUCCUUGUAUUAUUUUUAAUUCACCCACUAAACUAUAACCAUAUAAUUUAAAUGUGUGUUAGUAUCAUGAUUAUUAACUUUAUAUUAUUAAAACAGACAUGAUUGUACAAGUUUAUUUUUACAAUUUAUUGUCUUACUUAUCAAAUGGGCAACCAAUAAGCUUUAAUUUAAUAUGUGAUGUCUUAUCUUAUGUUUCAAAUUUCGAGACGAAUGCAACAACUCAACAAAAGGCUCAUCAACUGUAAAUAUGAUUCUUGAAAGCAACAAAGAUUCAAAUUACAAACCACCAUUUGAAGUGUAUCCUCUAACUCAUGUGUAAGUUCGGACAAAUGAUCAGACGAUUAACUGUGAACCCAUCCUUGAAGCAAUGAAGCCUUGAACCAGAUCUCACAACACAUUUGGUAGCUUCUCUCUUCAAUCAAAAAGAUUGAAGACUCCACAAAAACCAAACAGAAGCAUGUCAUUUGAUAAUCUGUGGUCUGUUGCUACGAGUCUUUGAUCUGGUUCUGUGGACUUUGGGUGGUGUAUCAAUCGUUAAAGCAUACAUUUUUACAGCAAAUAACUCUUGCGGAAGACCCUUUUGAUCCUGGAAGAUGAGUUCAAGAAAAAGACUGUAAAUGUCUAAAUUAUCAGUUCUUAGAUACGGUCUCAAGAUAAAAAUACAGACAAGAACUCGACCUUUGUUUGAUAGAGAUGUAACCCACACCGACGAAAGAGCUGUUUGAAAUACGGAUCCGAUCUGGUGAUGCUACGAUCCUCUUUAUCCAAGACAAACCCUGCGCACCCAAAAACAUUAAUAUAUGAAAUUUUGCAUCAGAGAUAAAUUUCAUAGGAAUGUAGAAGAGAGAGCGAAAGAGACCGUUUUUACAGAGAUUCUCUUUCACAACAAAAAACCCACCAGGUUUAAGGCAGCCCUAUGAUCAAGCAAGAAGAACAUCUCAUCAAAUUAUGCAGCGAAUUUUCUUCUUUCUUGAUCAGUUGAAGAAAGAAGCAAAAGUAAUCAUCUUUACCUUUGCUCGGUUGAAGAAAGAAACAAAGUCAUCGUCAGUGAGAUGCCCAAUGCACCAUUGAACCCAUAUAACAUCAUACCUUCCAGCAGCUGGAGUAAACUCCUAUGAUCAUAUAAACCACAAAGCAAAGGUGAAGGAGAAUUGAAAACAAAGAUAAGCUAAAGAAAGCAGAAAACACACUUCAGGAACUAUACCUGAAGCGGGACACAGAAGAAGUUAGUUGCUUUGUGCGUUUCUGAUCCCGCAGAUGCCAAGUUUUCACGCGCUGCAUCUAGGAAUUGUGCUACAGGCUCAAGAAGAUCAACCUGUGGAUCAAGAAAAGGGUUCAUCACAAAUUAUGACAUAAAACAGAGAAGAACAUAAUCUAAGUUAUAGAAUCACAGAAAACACUCACCUCGUUAAAGUAUCGUAUUAGAAGAUUCUUGGUGAUCCUUCCAAUGCCAGAUCCACAAUCUGCAAAUGGUUUGUGUGAUUUGUAAGAAAAACAAAAGUAAUAAACAUUAAAAAAAAACAGUGAACAGCAAUGAGAGGAGAGUUACCAAGAGCCACUAGAUGCUGAUUUGUUCCUCCAUUUACAUUUACUAAUCUUUCUUGCAUAAGAGUCUUGAGAAAAACCUCACUUCCUAAAAUAUCAGCAUCAUUCACAUGACCAUAUCCUCCUAAUACUCCAUCAACAGAAGCUUCAACACCCUUAAAUCAAGAACAUAAACACACAUACAAAACCCAAUUUCGAGUUUUAGAAAUCCUCACUAAACGUGUUUAGUGUUGAAUCUUUACUUGGAACAAAAAAAUAUUAAGAUUUGAGACCAGAAAAUCGAAAUUAAUCAAAGAAAAGGAAACUUACUUCCCAAUAAGAAACUCCGUCUCGAUACCAUUGAGUUUUCUUCGUUUCAUCUCCUUCUUCUCCAAUUUCUUCCCUCCACAUCUCUUGAGCGCUAUUAAACUCCUUCCCUUCGGAAUCAACGCCACAAACAUCCAUCAGAUCCAACGAGCGAGUUAAAACGCUUCUUCUCUCUUUUCUCCGACGAUUCAGUGACGGUGACAAAGCAGACGUCGUCGUCGUCGUCGACGGCGGCGAGAUGUGGUUUUGGUGGUUGCAAUGGAAGUGGCCAGUGGAAACAAAUGGGCUGUAAAAGGAAAGUGACAUUUUUUUGUUAUUGGGCUUUUUAAGGUUUCGUGGGUUUGUAAUUUAAAUCCAAGUCUCGGACUAUCCAAAUUCAACCCGACUCGCUCUCGAAUGUUAACGGGUCAAAGUCAAACCAUACUUGUUUGCUGGUUAUAAUCAAGCUUAUUAACCAUAACUCUGAGUCUCUGACAUUAGUAACAUGUCUUUUCUGUUCAAUUUUAAAACAAAGAAGAACACGAUGGAACCAAUGGGAACGUUACCAACGUGAAACAUAUCACACCAACCAUAAUGUGCCUUAUACUAUGACUUGUAAAUCGUCAACGGUCAACACUGCCUAAAAAUUAUAUAUUCCUUAAUCUCUUUUUCUGUGUAAUUACUCCAUCAUUUCAGUGCCCAAAUCUAAUGUAAGAUAUUAUAAGGUGUGGGCAUGAAAGGAAUAUUUUGGAUGACUGUUGUAUUUGUGAUCCUUUUAGCUUUUUGGAUCAACAUUUUCUAUCUAAACAAAGUUAAAAAGAUCACAAAAACAACCAAAAUGAAAAAUAUACAUAGAUUUGGUUUAAAUGUUCGUUUUAGUUCAACUAAUCAGAUACCUAAAGGGAUCACAAAUACAAAUUUUUUUUACUCCAACUAAUCGGAUAACUAAAAAUUCAGAUAUUUUAACUGGAUAUCAGCAAUUCAAAAAUUAAAAUUUUUGGGUCGAUCUAUUUUUUAUUUUUUGCAAGUUGUAGAUUUUUUUUUAAAAUUAUCAUUUAGAUUGUUUUUAUUUUCUGAAAAUGAUGUGUUAAUUCUGAUUGGACGAUUUAUAAAAUAGUCUUCCGCCUCGUGAUUCAAAGUCUUUAAUUAUAUAAAAACAGAGUAAUUUAGUCUCCGCCUCGUGAUUCUUCAGUCUCAGCCGCGUGAUUCUUCAGUCUCCGAUUAUAUAAAGAGCAAGUAUCAAGAAGAAGAAGAAGAAAGAAAAAAGUAACAAUGGAGAUCAUCACUAACGAGAAGAAGAAACUCUCGAGACAAUUUUCUUCCUUCAGACUAAGGAGCCCGAGUCUAAACGCUCUUCGUCUCCACAGAAUCUUCGACCUUUUUGACAAAAACAGAGACGGAUUCAUCACCGUCGAAGAACUGAGUCAAGCCCUUUCACGACUCGGUCUCGACGUUGAUUUCUCCGAGCUCGAAUCAACAGUCGAAUCAUUCAUCAAACCGGAACAAACCGGACUCCGGUUCGACGAUUUCGCAGCACUCCACAGAACCUUGGACGAAUCUUUCUUCGGAGUAGGCUGCGAGUGCGAUGGAUCUCCGGAAUCAGAUCUCGAAGAAGCUUUCAACGUGUUCGACGAAGACGGUGACGGGUUUAUCUCCGCCGUGGAGUUGCAAAAUGUUUUGAAGAAACUUGGGCUUCCUGAAGCGGGAGAGAUCGAACAAGUGGAGAAGAUGAUUGUCUCUGUUGAUAUCAAUCACGAUGGUCGCGUUGACUUUUUCGAGUUCAAGAACAUGAUGCAAACCGUUCUUGUUCCUUCCUCUUAAAUCUUGAGACAAGAAAUUUCUCUCUUUUGAAUUGCAAAACAAUCUGAAGAUAAUCUCUUGUGUAAUGGUUUAUUUACAAAAAAAAUCAAAUUAUGUUCUGAUUUAAAUCAAACAAAGCCAAUGGCAGAGAAAAUGAACUGCUCAGUUAACAUUUCAACUUAAGCCAUUUUGUGAAGAUGUUGGAUUCGGUUCAUUUUAAAACCAAAGAAAACCGAUCAGUCUCAUUAGUUUUGUUAGGGUUACCGGUUACUAAUACAUUUAAGAUUUUAUCGAAUCUACUUAUAAAAUUACAACAUAAACUUAAAAUUUAAUAUUAAUGCAGAGAUCUAGAGUUCGAGUCCCGAUAAAUGUAAUUUAUUAUUAAUAUGCAAAUUAAUGUAAACAAGGUUACAUGAGGUUUUCAAUUUGGUGCAUGUAGAUCCAUCCGAAUGAUGUUCGUUUUAUUAAUAAAAUUUUAUGAUUCAUUCAACUGAUUUAUUUAGCUGAUCCAUCUGAAUGAAGUUUUGUUUGUUUGAUCAUUUCACACCAUUAAAAAAGGCUAAAAUAUUCAUGUUUUCAUCUAAUCAUAUUUUCAGUGUAAUAUUAACUAUAUUAUUAUUAAUUUUUAAUAUAAAUAAUGUUUUACAACUAAAUAAUUUUCAGAUGAUUAUUUUAAACAUUUGAAAAUUUUUCUUUUCAUGAAAUUAAAAGUUUUGUUUAUAAAAAAGUUUUAUAACAAUUGAUUAAAAAACAAUUAAUUUAGUGGUUGAUUCAUACCCAAUAAAGAUAUUCAAAACAAAUAUUUUCUCAUUGGUGAAGCAAACUAUAAUAUCUUCUUCUUGAAUUAUAGUUUCAUCAUACAAAACAUAAUAUUAAAUUGAAAAAAAAAAACAUAUCAUAUUAUGUUUAUAAAGAUACAAAACAGAGUUUUUUUAGAAAAACAUAAUCCUUAAACCACCAACCCUCCCUUCUAUAUUCACAUACUUGUCAAUAUAGAAGUCUAGUUUCUUUUGAUAUCUCUAAGGUAAUGGCAUCACUUUUUGCCUUCAUAACUCUAUCACCUGAUGGUAAGUAUGGAACAUGUCCAACAUUUUCAUCACCAUGCUGUUUAUGUGACUCCACAUUUUCCCAAUAUUCAAAGUCUCUAUCCUUUUACCUUGAAUCUCUGAUAAAGUUGUGAAGCCAUUGUUGCUGUCACAAUCUUUAUCCAUUUCUUAAGCUUAUACUUAGGGUGUUUCCUCUCCAGAAUCCGCCAUUUAGCUUUCCAUACACCAAAUGUGCACUCAAUCUUCGACCUCAAACCAGAAUGCUUGCGGUUGAACAACUCUCUACUGUUUGUUGGUGGUCCUAUGUUGAACUGAUCUAGAUGAUAUCUAGUUUUGCGAUGUGGACCUAGAUAACCAGUUUUAGUGGGAUAACCUGAAUCAAUUAAGUAACCCUUUCCAGGUGGAGGAUGUGAAAAAGAAGCUUCUUGUUUAGCACAUUUGUUCAUGUGCUCUCUCAGGAACUCCAACAUAAGCAUAUAUGAAUUUCAUACUGAAAUAACAUAUAUCAAGCACUUACAUAGUUGGCUCUGAUUUUUGACCUAUAAAUGGCUCUACAUUCCCUGAUGGAGGACAAACUAGCACAUAUAUGCUAUCAAGAGCACCAAUGCAAUCCUCAAAAUAAGGCAUAUACCGGUCAUAAUCUACUAGAAAAGGAUCAGCACUUGCAAACUCAUCCCUUGCGGGUUUCACUAUAUCUGCUGCGAGUUUUAAAAGAGCACUUAAAACAUCAUCUAGCUUCCUUUUUACUGAGUAUAGUAAAUGUUGAUACCGCUCAGAUAAGGCUCGUACAGUUAGAUCUUGUGUAACCAUUUCUAUGAACAUUGCAACACUCUCUUCAAUAUAAAUAUGACAAGAUUCCUCUAACUUAUACUGCUCAGAUAGCCUCUUACACAAACUCCUAAAUCUUGACUGGUGCAUGCGUAGACUAUCAAAACAUUGUAGCUUAGACUCAAAAAUCAAUCGCUGCACACGUUGCCAACCUUCUCCUCGUUUUGUGUUCACCAUUUGUCUCUCAACUUUUCUUUCCUCCACUCCUUACAUGUCUUCUAUAAGAGCAUACAUGUGUUUCUCCUCCUCAAGAACCAAUUCCAUGUCAUCAUCUUCAAUUAAGAAUCUAAAUGUUUCCUGCAAAACCAGAAUAGAAAACGAAAUACUUUUAGCAGCUCUUCAUCGAACGAGAGAUAAUAAUGUUACAAGCUAGAACUACGCAAACACUAAAGCAAGAGACAGAUACCAGGAUACCUUUUGCAAGCUACGUAGAACUAGAACUACACAAACACUGAAGCAAAUCAAAAAUUUGCAUUUCUUUGUUCUCUUUAAGCUUGUACCAUUAUUCCUAAAUGUUACAAACUGUAUCUGUCUAGAACUAGAACUUCGUAGAACUAGACAGAUAAAUGUUACAUUUCUUUGUUCUCUAUUGUGUCGAAUCGAUUUCUACGCAAACACUAGAACUAGAACUACGUAGAACUAGAACUAGAACUACGUAGAACUAGAACUAGACAGAUACCAUGUCAUCAUCUUCAAGAGACAGAUAAUGUUACAAACUAGAACUACACAAACACUGAGCAAGAGACGGAUACCAGGAUACCGGAUACGACAGAUAUGAAAAUGCAUGCAUAGGCUUUUUCUUGUUGUGUUCUAAAUAUUCCAAGAAAAACUAUUACCUUACUGUUCAUCUUGUCUGAGGAUCUUCUUUACAGUUGCAAGCUUAGUCCAUUCUGCAACAAAGAAUACAAGAUAAGAUAAUUCAUUCAUAUUCACUCAUUCAAAAAAUAAGAAUUAUAACUGAUAACUAGUAAAAAAUAAAAAGAUAAGAUAAUUCAUUCUCAUACACUUAAAAUAAACCUGUUUCUCCUACACAAAAUAAGAUACUAGAGUUCAAAAGAAACAUUGAAAGACACUAGGUACUAGAGUUCAUAAGAAACAUUAAAAGACACUAGAUACUAGAGUUCAUAAGAAACAUAGUUCAUAAUAAGCAUAAAUCAUCCUCAUGCAUUCCUGUUUUCACUUGUUGCAAACUCCAAAUAGAGAACCUUGUUCUCAUCAUCUUCAUAAAACAAGAAUGUCUGACGGUUGGCAAUAUCUUGUUUCAGAUAUUGAAUUGCUGCCUUAUACAAAGGAGACCACAUGCUUAUAGCAGACAGCAAAUGUAGAAUCUCCAUAGCUCAACGCUGACUACAAGGAAAUUCGGGAUGGCUCUCAAUUAGGUGAUUCUUGUAUGAAAGAAUCUUAUCAUGCGACUGAACACUCUCCCUAAUCAUAUCUGCAACAGCUUGUCCUACUUGUACAACCCUCUUUUUUUUUUUUAUUAGUCCUCCGCUUACUAGAUGAGAGACCAUCACCAAUAUUAGAAAAUGAAGGUCCAUUGCUAUUAUUGCCCUGAGUAGGAGGAAUUUGCCUUGAUUCAGCAUCAGCAUCAACAUCUUGAGUAAGAGGGAUUCACCUUGAUUCAGAAUCAGCCUCAGCAUCAGCCUCAACAUCUUGAUCAAAAUGUAAUGUGUCUAUAUGUUCUUUACAUUGCUGAGCACUCCAACCUUCGACCCCACUAACAUGAAUUGCCCCAAAGACUUGUUCCAUCAAAUCCAUGUUUGCAACUGGUUUUUUUUUUAGUUUCUUAGCUCUCGACCAUUCCUGAAAUCAUAAAAAGAUAUAAGGCAGUGAGUAUAAGCAACAAUCCAUUUGAAUACUCAGAAAAAAAAGAAAAAAAAACAAGUGAAAUGAACAUAUGUAUACUUUAGUUCGCUCAUUCUACCAGUCAUCAGAUAUUUCUAUGUAUCUAUUAGAAUCAUAUCCAAGUCCAGUUCUGUUGUGAGUCAGUCUUCUGAAAGAUUCAUACUGUUUCUUGCAAGUAGAAAACUUGAUCUUGAAUUUCCUCCAUGGAUGUCUUUCCCCAAAUCUCUCACUCAAUUUCUCUAUAAUUUUCUGUCUUGCAGCUUCGUGCACAGUUUGUUCAUCACUCCACACAAGAUUUUUAGACCUAGGAACAAACACAAGAUUCUUAGACCAGACAGUAAACACAAGAUUCUUAGACCAAACAACAAACACAAGAUUCUUAUACCAAACAACAAACACACAACACAGAAGAAAAUAAUUUCACCUUAUAAUAGUUUGAAACUCUUGGUUCUAAAAAAUCAAAUACAUUGAAACAGUAAUAUAUGAGUUUAGAGGGAAAGAUACUCACAUCAGAAUUACAGAUAGAUGACAUUGUGUCUGUGAAGAAGUGCCAGCAACUAUCUACAAGAAGGAAGAGUGAACAUUAUAGUAAGACACAUCCGUAAAACACAUACGGGAAAACCAAUCAGGAACAAAAAAUAUUAAGAAAACAUACAAAGCAAGCUCAUAUACAAUCUCAGAAAACAUACAAAGCAAGCUCAGAUACAAAGAUACAAACAUACAAACAUACAAAGAUGCAGCAACUAUCUACAAGUAAAGACACAAAAGGGACGUGUGGAAAACUCAGAAACUAUCUACAAGAAGCAACAUCAGAAUUAACCGAUGUUAUCACUAACUGGCAAGACACAAGAUGGACGUGUGGUAAAAAGGAAGUGGUGAAAAGUGAAGACACAAGAGGGACGUGUGGGAAGCUCAGAAACUAUCUACAAGAAGCAACAUCAGAAUUAACUGAUGCUACCACAAAACCAAUUUAACACUCUCACCACACAAAUAAUAAAAAAAAACUACUUUAAGGUUUUUCUCAUUAAACUAACAACUACUUUAUAAGGUUUUCCUCAUUAAGCUACUCGCUAAUGGCAUCAGAAAGAUGAACAAAUUAUCAAAGCUACAAGUGUACAUUAAAGACCCUUGAAUCACGAGAACAAGAAGAGGCAAAAACCUGGAUUUUGUAAUUGCUCAGCAAACCCGAUGCAGGCGAGUUAUAAGUCGCUGAAAUGUGUAAUAAAGUUCUGCAUCACCACGAAACCAAAAGAAAGGGUCAAUUAUUAGCUAUAACUUUCUCGCUUAAGUGCCAAACACAAUUGCCAAAGGAGCUCUAGAAAGAGAGAAAAUGUGUUUAGUUCAAAGAAAAAUAUCCAAAAUGCACCAUUCAUCCACAAUCACUCAUCACAGAAAAGCAUGUUAAGAAGACAUUCUGGUGUUAAUAUACAUCUUUUUUCUUACUAUAACCUGAUCAUAUUUAUUGUUAUAAUGGGACCCAAGACCUCAAACAAACUUCGUUAACCAUCAGCCAUAACAUUGAUUUGAUCCGUUUAAGUCUAUGUACUUUUUACCAAUCCCUAACAUGACUUUAUGUUCAUCUCAAACAACAAAAACCACUUCUCACAUCAACAACGAUUCAAGAUUCAAAAAAAAUUAGAUCACAUACACUGAUGUUGGUAAAAAACAGUUUUGAGUACAACUAGACCGACCAGAUGGUAACCAAACCUGAAAGUCUCAGACUUUCUACCACAUACUAUUAAUCAAUACGGUUGUAGAUGUUUUAAUGCAUUCAACAAUGUCAUCAUGACUGAAUGAUGCAGCAUAAUAUCUACCAUUGCUGGAAGGAGAAAAAAGCUUAAAUCUUCACUACAAAGACAUCAAACCGAUUAAUUGAAUGUUCCAUCUAGCUUAGUGACCAUGUCAAUGAUACUUAAAGAUCCAAAGAUCACAACAUAAACAAUCUAAACUAAUCUUCAAUUCACUAUCAAAUUCUAAGUCAAUAUCAGAAACCAUAUAAAGAGAGAAUCAAAACACAACAAGAAGCGAGCAGAACAAGUAGCAAGCAUAAAUUAUCCUCUAUGACACAGCAAACGAAGCUAACAGCGAAGUUAUCACUAACUAGCAAAUCACAAACGCAGCUAAUCUCAAUGAUGUUCAAAGCUGUUUUGUAGUUUAGAGAAGAAAAAUUAGAAUUCUAAACCAAACCUAGAAAUAUAUUAUCUCAGCGGAGAGAGAAAACAAGAAUCAUCGGAAAAAGCAAAGCUUGAGCUUGGAAUAACAUGAGAGAGAGAUCGAAGCUUCUUCAGAGAAAGAGAGACGAGUCGACUGAGUGAGCUCGUGUUGGACAAGAGAGGAGUCCGAGAAGACGCUGGCGAAUGGAGAUGUCUUGCAGCCAAGAAGACGCUGGAGAAUGGAGUUGUCUCGCUGGAGAAAUAAAGCUCGAAGGAAGAACAAUCGGAGAAAUGGAGGAGUCGCAGAAGAGAGGAGAAGCAGAUUUAGGUUUUAGUUUUUCUCUUGUAAUUUUUUUAUUUUCUCAAAGGUAUUUUAGUCAUUAUUAAGUUUCGAUUAAAGCUGGUUCAUUCAGUUGGUUCAUUCAGUUGGUUCAAUUCAGAUCAGCUAGCUAAUAUUAAAAAUUGGAUCAUAGCUUUAAAUGAUCCAGUUGGUUGAUUCAUCCAAAUGAUGAUGAUUUUAUGCCAUAAACGAAGAUCAGUUGACUUGAUCAUCUGAAUGGAUCAUCCAGAUGAACAAACGACCAUGGCUUUUAAUAAAAAAUAUAUAAUAAUGUAUUAUCUUUGUAGUAGAAAUAUUAUUUAAAUUUAAUUAUUUAAAUUAAAUUUUAAAUUAAGAUUCAGUUUAUUAUUUUGUAAAGAUAUAAUGAUAACUUAUUUGAUGAUUUUUGAUAAAUAAUAUAAUAUAUAUUUAAAUAAAUCAAUAAUAAAUCUAAAUUUAAAUUUAAAAUUUUGGAUUUAUAUUAAAAUAAAAAUUAAAAAUAUAUUAUUUAUUAAUAUUACACUAAAUUAACUUAUUUGACAAUAAAAUAAUAAUUUAUAUAUACUUACAGUUUUAAAAUUUAUUAAAAUUAUAUAUUUACAUACAGUUUUUAAUAAUUUUUGCUAAAAUUAUAUAUUUACAUACAGUUUUAAUAAUUCAUUAUUAUAAUAUUUUUGAAUUUGAUGAAUUUUUUAUAUGGUAUUUGGUUUCGAAAUCCAUAAUUAUCAAUUUAUAAAAAAAAUUAUAAAUUAAUAAAAUAUUAAUAUUAUUAAUUUAUAGAGAUUCUAUUGUAUAUCAAAAACCAUUAAAGCACAAUUGAAGCUGAAUAGUCACCUGCUAUUCUCUUUAUUAUUAUUAUUUUUUCCGACAAACCCAAGUCUUCACCAUAAGCAUCUGUAUUAGGCUGCCUUUGCGAUUGCGAUUGGAACAUGAAAGAUGGAACAAAAAUGGUACGCUUCUUUACUUGGUUUAUGUUUUGCUUGGAAUCCCUUUCUAUGGUCUUCUACUCUUCUUUGAACCCUAAAAAUUCGUUAUGGUUGUUUUUUUUUUCCCUAAUUCUCGACAGCAAAAUCGGUGGUAACAAUCGGAGAAAUCAAAACCUUGUAAAUGAGGACAGAAUCAGCGAAUUGCCUGAAGUUUUGCUUCUGCAGAUACUAUCUUCACUUGCAACAAAAAAUGUCAUAGCCACGAGUGUUUUGUCUAAACGUUGGAGGUCUCUUUGGAAGAUGGUGCCAAGGCUCAAGUUUGAUUCUGAAGAUCAUCAUACAUUUUCAGGGAAUGUUUACAGGUCUCUUAUCUCACACAAAUCUCCGUUUUUGGAGAGUUUGCAUCUAACAAUCAGUGAUGAAUCUGAUGCUUCCGAUAUUGGAAUAUGGAUUGGGAUUGCAUUUGCUCGCCAUGUGCGUAGAUUGGUACUUGAUAUUGACUUAGAGGUCACGUUUCCAAGUCUUUUAUGUAGCUGGAAUGAUAUACUCGAGAUCUUGAAACUCAAGGAUUGCAUUCUUGUAGACUUUCCUACUCGGGUUUGUUUUCUUUCUCUUAGGAAGCUGCACCUCUACUAUAUGCAAUUCAGAGACGAAGCAUCUGUUUGCAACCUUUUCAGUGGCUGCCCUGUUCUUGAAGAUUUGGUCGUGAAUCGAACAACCAAUCUCGAUGUGGAGACUUUCACUAUUGCGGUGCCAUCGUUACAGAUGCUAACCAUAUAUGAUGACCAAGCAGUAGAAGGGCAAGGAGGGUAUGUGAUAAAUACACCUUCUUUGAAGUACUUGAACAUUGAUGGGUCAGGGUUCGCUGGUCUUGAGUUUCUUCUGAUUGAGAAUGCGCCAGAGUUGGUGGAGGCAAAAAUCAAAGACGUUUCUGAUCUAGUCAAUGAGAACAUUCUCGAAUCCAUAACUUCAGCCAAACGUCUUUGCUUACACAUAUCACCCUUAAAGGUAAUUUCAAGAUCUUAAGAAUUUUCACGGGUUUGCAAUUGGACUUACAUUGUUUUGUAUACAGAUUAAGCAUCCUACUGGUAAAAUCUUCUAUCAGCUUCUAUCUUUGGAACUGGAACUGAUGAGUAGAAAUGAAAAAGAGUGGUGGAGUCUACUUUUGCACAUGCUUGAUGCUUCUCCUAAAUAACAAGUCCUCAAGCUAAUUGUAAGCCAUUUCAUUAGUCAAACUACUUUUCUCUUUCCAAUGCUCUCUGCUUUGAGAUACUUUUUGAUGAUCUGAACAUUUUACGUUAAUUUCAUUGAUCUCAGUCAUGGUGGUAUGGUUUUAAAGAUUGCCACAAGUGGAAUCAACCGAAAUGUGUACCGGAAUGUUUGUUGUAUCAUCUUGAGACAUUUGUGUGGACAAGAUACCAAUGGCAACGAGAAGCUGACAAAGAAGUGGCUACAUAAAUCCUUAAGAACGCAAGACGGCUGAAGAAAGCAACUCUUUCCACAGAUUUCAUCGAAUGCAAAAAGCUUGAGAAGCUGGAAAAGAGACGUGAGAUGCUCAAUGAGUUGGCUAGUGUGGUCAAGGCUUCAAAUUCAUGUCACCUCGUGUUAGAAUCUGAUACCUACUCUGAUGAUGAGGAUGAUUCCAGUUAGGAUUUCUAUUUUCUAAAUUUAGAAAACUGUUUAGAGAAGAGAUGCAUUUAAUAAAAAACCUAUUUUAAGUUUCUCAAAGAGGUAUAGCAAGAGAAGAAUACGACACCAAUUGGAAUCUUAAUAAACGAAGUAAGCAGAGAUUUUUUUUUCUGUGAAGUGAAUUAUUGUCAAGUUGAUACAAAUGUUGGGCGCAUUAGCCGUUAGACUUGGAUGGGUACCUCUUCAGCCACGCUCAUAGAUGCACUUCAAUUGCAUUUUCUAGAAAUGUAAGCACUCUUGGGUUUGGUUUAACUAGCUAUCAUGUGCUUGAAUCCAUUCAAAAGUAUCCAUGACCACGUUUAUGCAAACUUGACCAAAAAAACAUUGUAUUACCUCUCAGGAUGUUUAUAACUAACUUGUAUUUUUAUAGCUCAUUUUAAUAUACCUAUAUUAAUUAGUUUAACGCAAUAUUAUCUCAAAGGUAUAGUUGUAUUACCAAAUAAUUACUUUUGUGAAGGUAUGUAUAAGAAAUUAUACACAUAUUUAUGCAUGAAAAAACCGGCAGAACAUAUGAUCCAUAUGAGAUUUUUUUAAUCUACUUGACUAUUUGAUUUCAGGUGUUUUAGGCAAAGAACAAACUAAUUGCAAUAUAUGUCCAAUGAGAGGGGGAUGAUGACAAUUUUGGUAAUGUGUUUGCAAGGUGCUACAACAUGUUCCCUAAUCCCUUCGUACCAUUACGAGAGAACCCUUUAUUCAAAAUAUAACUCAGUAAAUGGAAGUGGCCAAUCACAAGUAGCUCCGAAUUAGUACAGAAAAUCUAGUAACAUUUACUUGUUUUAUAGUUUAAGGCUUGCUUUACCUGGUACAGAGAAAGGCAUGAGGACAUCGGAUAAAACUCCUUUCGCUCUACACCUGCCAGAGACAUUGUUUAUAAAGAAGGGGUCAGAAAUAGUAAAGUAUCCAAAGCUAGCAAACAAGCCCACUUGUUGUGAACCAAUUAUGGAAGAGCGAAGAGCCAACAUCACGAGAGCUGGUAUAGGGCUGUGGAGUUUGCCGUUAGGGAGGUUGAAUGGUUAGUUCAUUUGCUUCAUGAGUUUGAUGCUUCUCAGUCACACUCCAUUGCAUUUUACUGUGAUUCUACAGCGGCAAUUCAUAUCGUUUCAAAUUCUGUGUUUCACGAACGGACGAAACACAUUGAGUUAGAUUGUCAUAUGGUUUGUGAUCGAGUAGACAGUGGUUUAAUCAAAUUGUUUCAUGUCAAAACGGAUUUGCAGCUGACCGAUGUAUUCACGAAGCCGGUAUUUCCUACUCAGUUCAAAUCUCUUAUGGCCUAUUAAAGUAAAUCAGAUAUUAUAUGUAACAGGAUUGAACCGGAUGUAAUUUGGUUCAUAUACAAAACCAUAUGAAUCAUUUUUUUGUUAAAGAAAACCAUAUGAAUCAUGUAAACACAAUUCAGUUGAAUAACAGAAACACUUUUCCGUUCUCUAUAGCUUUCUUCCUCUCGAUCUUUGUAUACUAACAUGCGUCGUUUUGGUCAAUAUAAAUGUGAGUUUUAAGCUGUAUCACUUUUUUUGUUCUCCUACAUCCAAAAUCGAACCAUGAGCCAACGCCAAGUCUCUUUUGCCCUUUAAAUUUCUUUGUUUUUAGCCUUUUAUGCAAACUAUGAUUUUCUGUUUAUUUUAUGUUUCCUCGUUUUCCUUAUUUUCCUCUAACUAAAGUUUUGAAUCGUUAAAAUAAUAAUAAGUGAGUUUUGCAUUUGCUAUAAUUUAAUUAUAUCUCCUAAAAAUAUGAUAUAUCUUUUAUGUAUUUUAGGUAUAUCUUUUUUUAUUAAAGAGUUUUAAAUGUCUUAAAAAUAUCUUUAUAAAGCAAGUUUGUAAAUUUUGGAAUUUAUUUAACUUUAUCUUACUUCUUGUAGUCAAACAAACAACCGAGAAUGGUGGGUUUGUAAGUUUGUAUAGUUGGAACUGUGUUCGACGUCUGAUUUUUUUUAUCCGAAUUUUCUAGAUAUUUUUUUCCCUUUUGCAUUUGGUUAAUUGAUAACGAUUUUGGUCCAAUAUAAUGAUUGAUCUAACUAUAUAACUAAAGAACUAUUCAUAUUUUAAAAAGUAAACAAUAAUCACGACAAUUUUAAAAUAUGGUACGAGCUAUUGGAAGCAAUUGACGAAUUGAUAACCGUUUUACUAAGCAUUACCUAACAAGUACCUAAGUAAGAACUAAGUUAUGUAAGACUUAUUAUAACAUUGGCAUGCCUCUUUUCGUUCGCUUCGAAUUGUAAAAAGAGUGGAAGAGUAAUUAAUAACAAAAUUAGGUGACUGACGAAAAGUUUAUUUUAUUUAUUUUCUUUGUUUAUCAAUUAAAGAGCAAGUAAGGGGGCUUUGUAUUUUCGUUUUUUUCAAUAUAUGUAAUAUUCAUGAGUUUGUUAGUUAGGUGAAUGACCCGUAGGUAAGAAAAACUUUACUCUAUAAUAGAAUUGUUUUUCAUUUGAUAGCGUAAAAAGAUAAGAAUUUGUUUUUAUUACCACUAAAAGAAUAGAAUAUACGUUUACAUUUUACUUGAAUCUAAAUUAGUAGUCACGUAUAUAUGUGAAAUUGUUAAGUAAAUGCAAAAAAUAGUUGACAAGAAAAUGCAAAAUGUAGGAUCAAAUCAUUUGAUUUGACCGCGAUGGCUAAACACGUUAGAUAGUUGGGCAGUCACUACAACUAAUUUUAUCAUCAAUUAUUUGUAUUACAUAUAUUUUAUAUUUCACUUGUAGUUAAACUAUUUUAAAAAUUUCCAAGAAAAGGUUCAUAAUUCUUGUUUGACUUUGAUUAAACAAUAGGGUAGUUAGUCGUCUACAUUGGCUUCUAAAUUCUAAAUAAUCGGCCUUUAAAAUUAGGUUAGGUAACCUAGUAACCUACACAAGAAACCAUUUGAGUUGGUACUAUAUUGCGACAAGAACAGAAAAAAAGCAAUUGUUUUUUAAGAACAUUAAAUAUAUAUCGGAUUGUAAACCCACAUAUCCUUAAUUAGAUAUUUAGAUGUAACGUAUGUUAUUACGUUGGAAAUGAUAUAUACUAUAAAAAAUUACAUGUUGCAAACAUCGCCAUUAUUCUUGUUAGAAUUAUUAUAUCAUGAUAAUAAUAAACAACACAUAAGAUUCUCUCUUUCUUUUAGUGUUUCCUAUUUUUCCCCUUUUAUUAAAUGAAAUACUGCUUUUUUCUUAAUAACUAAUUUAAAAUAAGUAGAUUCUAAAAAGUUGAAUCCUAGGAGCUUUUUUGUUAAAAGUUACUUCCACAUUUAUGAAAUAAAAACCUAACAGUGUCAUGUUUUGAAGUCAACGAAAAUAUUUCCACUUUGCCUCAAUGCUUCCAUAUUAGAUGAUAAUUACUUAAUAAUUGUACCCAAAAAAAAAGAUACAGCCCAAAAUGGAGUUUGAUUACAAAAAAAAAUUGCAUAUGUAAGGAAAUAACUAUUAAAAAUUAGUAAACACCGAUAAAGAAAAGGAGAUAGACCUUAAGUUAAUAGAAAAAAAUGUUUUUCAAAAAUGGAGAUAAAUAUUAAAAAUUAUUUCCACUUUGAAACUAAAUUACCAAAUAUAUUGAUAUAUUAAAAACACAUAACCGACGCGAUAGAGAAAGAGAGUCGCGACUAGGUCAUAGUCGUGCUCUCGUUUUGCAAUUCACGUUUCCUCUCUAAGCUUCUUCGUCUUCUUCCUCUCUCUCUCUCUCUCUCUGGUUCUCUUUCUCUCUAUUACGUUUUCUCCUCACGAGUUUCUCUCACACUACGUUAACAAAACAUCGCGCGUUUCGCAUUUUAUGAUUUUAAUUUUUAACCAUCUUUAAACGCCUUCCUCUGUUUCUUGUCUUCUCACAAUCAUCAGGUGCACAAAUCUCUCUCUUUCUCUCUCUCUCUCUCUCUGUAAUCUUCUGACAACAUUAUAUGUUAAUAAUCCGUUUCGUCUCUGGGGAAUCAUCAGGCUGAUUUAGAUGAUCACCAUCACUAAUCAUCUAUUUUUGGUUUUCACUCUGUCUUACUGAUUAAGACCAUUUUUCUCUGAUUUUUCUUUUAUAUUAAAUCGAGAUCGGAAUCGAAUUCGGACCAUAAUAUUAUUUGUUGAAAGUUGAAACUGAUCGGAGUUUUAGUCAAUUUUGAUGACUUAAUCUUACAGUUUUUUUAACUCUUUAUUCCUCUUUUUUCUUUUUGGUUUUAACUCUGGUUCUUCUUUCUAUGCUACUUUUUCUGACUAAAGUAUGAUUAGAAGAUAUAUAGAUGAGCAUUACAAAUAGUCAAAUAUUCUUAUUUUAUAUGAAACUUUAAUAAAUCUAAACUUUUUCUGGUUUGUUUCAUCUUUUAUGCUUCAGGUCCCACUUCCAACAUAUGUUUUGGUCUUUCUCUCUUUUUUUUCCAUGCAUAUAAUUAUAUAAGUGUUUGCAGAAUUUGGUAGCUUUGACCUGUAUUCUUCUGUUUAUAAUCAAUUUUAAUAAUAUUUUUUACUGGUUCCUUUGUUUUGCAGCAAUCUCCAGCAACAUAAACUUCAUGGUUGCAAGCUACUGAUUAUUGGGAUUUUUUCUUGUUUUUGGUCUCAAGUCUCUGUUUGAGAAACAGAACAUUUUGAAGUCUUUCAAUGCUAAGUUUGUCUGGAGUCAGAAGUCAACGAAGAAACACAAGAACUUUGCCUCUAGGAGGUAAGAGAGAUUAUUACUCAAACAAAACUUUCUUUAGAUCAUAUCAUGUUUCUGAGAAAGAGGAACUUUGGAUUCUGAUCUCUUAGUUUAAAAAAAAAAAACAAAUGCAGAUAUGGAUUACUUAGAACCCAAAACAAAGAGCAAUCUGAUGGGAAAGCUUCUCUUACUAGUUUCACUUGUAAUCUUAGCCAUUAUUGUGAUCAAUCAAGCUUCAAGUUUCACAUCCCCAAGCGUGGUAUCUCCAUCAACUCAUACGCAAAAACCUUAUAUAACUUUUACAUUUUGUUAAUGUUUUUCUGCGGUUCGUUUGCUUUCAGUUUUCUCAACGAGAGGAAGGAGUGACUCAUGUGUUAGUCACUGGUGGUGCUGGUUAUAUCGGGUCACAUGCUGCUUUAAGGCUGCUAAAAGAUUCAUACCGCGUAACCAUUGUGGUAACAAAAAUUCUAUUUCUUGUAUAUACUAGUUUCAAGAUUUUCAAGAACUAUAUAGUUAAUGAAAUUUGAACUUUUGAUCUAUCAACAGGACAAUCUUUCCCGUGGGAAUCUUGGCGCGGUUAAGACUUUACAGCGAUUAUUCCCGCAAACCGGAAGACUCCAAUUCAUUUAUGCUGAUUUAGGAGAUCCCAUAGCUGUAUGGUUUUAUAACCUUUGGAGUUUGUUAACUUUUGAAGCAUAAACGUUUUGAUUUUUUUUUUCUUUUUUUUUAACCGAUACAUUUUCAGGUCGAUAAAAUCUUCUCAGAGAAUGCUUUUGACGCUGUGAUGCAUUUUGCUGCGGUUGCUUAUGUUGGAGAAAGCACUCUUUAUCCUCUAAAGUAUUGUCUUAGUUCUUCUAUUUUUCUAAACAUCUCUGCAAGAAUUUGUUUUCCGGUCUCAUUGUUUGAUGUUUUGCUUGUUGCAGAUAUUACCAUAACAUUACAUCAAACACAUUAGGAGUUCUUGAAGCUAUGGCUAAACAUAAAGUGAAGAAACUGAUAUAUUCUAGCACUUGUGCUACAUAUGGCGAGCCCGAAAAAAUGCCGAUUACUGAAGAUACUCCGCAGGUAAAAUAGCCUUAAUUUCGCUGAAGUAAACCAUUUCAAUAUGAACUUUUCCUUAAAUGGAAAAUAUUGUGUCCAGGUUCCGAUUAAUCCUUAUGGAAAAGCUAAAAAGAUGGCAGAGGAUAUGAUCUUGGAUUUUUCCAAGAACUCUGACAUGGCGGUUAUGAUCUUACGGUUAGAUUCCUUGAGCUCCAAGUCUAUGAUCAAUGAGUACAACUGCAAAUGUUAAUGAAUCUUAUGACCUGCAGAUACUUCAAUGUGAUUGGUUCAGAUCCAGAAGGCAGACUUGGAGAAGCUCCAAGACCAGAGCUUCGUGAGCAAGGACGAAUUUCUGGUGCUUGUUUCGAUGCAGCUCGUGGUUUCAUUCCAGGACUGCAAGUAAAAAGACUUUUAUAUUCACAAAUUUAUAACGUAUCAUCUUGUUUUAUAAUUGCUUCUUUGCAAAGAAACCUAAUGAUAUGCUUUGUGAUAGGUGAAAGGAACAGAUUACAAAACAACGGAUGGCACCUGCAUUAGAGACUAUAUAGAUGUUACUGACCUCGUGGAUGCUCACGUGAAGGCUCUCGAGAAAGCUCAGCCUCGUAAAGUCGGCAUCUACAACGUUGGAACCGGAAAAGGUCUUUGACUUUAACAUUUUUACUAUUCCAAGAAAAUUAUUUGCUUCUACGUAUAACCAAGCGUUUCCAAAAUCCAAACUAAUCUCCGCGGUCUAUAGUUUUCAUGUAAAUUAUGUAGUUAUCAAGAAACGGAUCCGUAUGACUAUUGGUUGUUUGAUUUCACUGCAAGAUUUUGGUACAAGCUGAGUUUUAACCGUUUCUUGGUUUGGUUGAGCAGGAAGAUCGGUUAAGGAAUUUGUGGAGGCAUGUAAGAAGGCGACAGGAGUUGAGAUCAAAGUAGAUUUCUUGCCUCGACGACCGGGGGAUUACGCAGAGGUUUACAGUGAUCCGGCAAAGAUUUUGAGAGAUUUGAAUUGGACUGCACGAUUCACUAAUCUUCAGGAUAGUCUUCAAGUUGCUUGGAGGUGGCAAAAGAUUCAUCCUCAUGGAUAUGCUUCUUAUUGACAACAGAGGAAACAUAUUUUUAAAUUUUUUUAUUUAUUCAUCAUUAUGUUUGGAGGGAUUUGUGAGGGAUUUGUGAGCUUAUACCCUGUAGAGGAGAGAUAUCGUGGCUGGUUAUGUACUUAUGGUGGAAGUGUAAGCAUAAUGGUGAAUAAUGCUGAUGGCAUGAGUCGAGAUCAACACAACCAGGCAAACGUAUUCAGUUAAAAAACAAAUUUAACUCAAAUUUACAAAGUGAAAAUUUAAUAAUAUUUAUGAAAAUUUAACUAAUCAACAUAUACCCUCAGCAUAAAUAUUAUUAAAUUUUCAAUUUGUAAGUUGCCACUUAAAUUUUUAUAUAUAUUUUCUAUGUGCUUUUCGUUUUAUUUAUUUAUUUCAUAACAUAUUUGAAUCUCUCGAUCUUGAAUUUUUUUUACUUAUGAACUACUUGCUAUCGUUAUAACAUCUUUACUGUCAAUUUUUUUUUUAAAGUGUCUUACCUAAUUCGUACUUAUAUGUAAUUGUGAAAACAGUUUUUGUAAAUUUUUAAAAAAUUUAUUUAAUAUUUUGAAAAAAUUUGUAACCAUUUACGAAUACAAAGUAAUAUUAUAAUGUUAUCUGAAUGCAAAUAGUUUAUAUAUAUAGGAGCCAACAUCUAAACUCUGAUGCUGAAAGCCGAUUCUGAUGCUACUUUAGUGACUCGUAUGUUUAGAAAAUCAUGUGCCAUAGAUGCGGAGAUGCUAAAUCACCAAAUCGGUAUUGAUUAUCCUUCGAAUAGCUAAAAAAAUACAAAUUUGGAAGAAAGAAACAUCAUCUCUAGCCUCAGCUCAUCAUAAUAGAUCAAAAUGUGUCUUUCUGUUUCUCACACCAGUUCCAAUAUUUCUUUUAAGCUCGAAGCGACCAUGUCAUAUAAAGAUACAUAUCAAGUUAGCAUUAUCAUGAUUAGGAUUAUGGAACUUUAUCAUGGAAAAUACUUACAUUAUUAAUCAUCUUCAAAUGAAGAUUUAAUAACUAACUCAUGUGGAGUUUGUAUUUGAAACAUUUGAAGAACUAGUCCAAGUUAAUAUUUAUAAUAUUAAUUAGCAUGAAAAACUAUAGUACGUAUUAAUCUUCAUGCAAAGCUAAACUACUAUCCUCGUCAUCACCAUCGCCAAUAACAUUAAUCUUAAUUGCAUAAACCAAGUUGUGCUGCAUAGUUCACACAAAAUGUUAUCUUAUUUCUUCAAUUCAUCUUCUUGCAUAUUGUUGUUCAGUUAUUUGAUAUACACACUAGUUGUUGUAUUUGAUUCUUUUAGAUCUGUCUUUGUAAUUGUCUAUGUUAGUAAAUGUUUAUUUUUUCUUAUGAAACUCUAACUUAAUAUAAUUCAUUAUGUAUGUGUACAUGAACCAAAUCUAUCAUCUUGCAUAUGUUGUAUAGUCAUUUGACAUAUAUACACUGGUUGAAUUUGAUUCUUCGGUAAGUUUUCGGUGUCAAUAAUUUUUCACUUGAUAGCUAAGAAAACUACAUAAUCUUUUCUUAUAAUACAAAUAUACUAGCAACAUCCAAGCCAUUUGUAGACAUGAUACUAUGGAUCAAUUUGUUUUAUUUGCUACUAUUGUGCAGUACAACCACAUUAUGACACUAACAUUAGCUGGUUGUUGCUUUAUAUCUCUCACAAUGUUCUCUUUUACAAUAUGAAAUAUAUUUUAUUCAGUAUUUCAUUUGCUUCCUGAAAAAUGUUUCAAAUAAACUUUUAACUCUACUUUAUCAUCAUAUAGUAAUAAUGAGGUUUCAAGACUUAUCUGCAUAUAAAAAUAUUACAACAUUUUACAUAUCAAUAUGACAAGAUUCAAAAGUUUUUCUUAGAAAAUUAGAUGCACUCAGCGGGUAUAUGAUUUACUUUAGCUGAUCUGUUAAAAAAUUUAAAAAUAAUUUCACUAUAAAAUAACUUUUGAUGUCAGUAUAUAUGUACAAAAGUAUGAAAAGUUUCCAUCACAUUUGUAGCACAAUUUUUUAGAAGACUUAUCGACAGUGUAAUUAUUUGGCUAUGAUCUUUUUUUUUUUCUCGAAAACAGAAUGAAGAAUUUUUUUUUUGGAAAACAAAUGUAGAUAAUCAUUGAUUUCAAAAGUAUAUAUUAUUAUUAGUUUCAAAAUAAUUUUUGUAGACGUUUAAUUAAUUUAUUAACGUUUUAUUUUGAGAGGGUUAAAAAUCUUUGUAUGCAUUCUUUAUAGACAAAAGAUGAGAAACUUCUUUAAAUCUCUAAGCUUGUUAAACAAAAAACAAAUUGAAACACAAGCUAUAAAGGGUUUGGGGAGGUUGUUAGUAAAUUUGUACUAAAAAGGAAAUUAAUAAUCCUUAGUAGUUAUCCAGUUUUUCUUAAAGAAACAUAGCUAUAAAUGUUAGUCACUUCAGACAUGACACUUUCCUUAACACAAACACGAAGUAUAAAGGAUUUGACAAGAAAAAGGAGACAACUUUGUAAAGACAAGAACUUUGUGUAUCUUCCUUUUUGUUUUCUACUGCUUCUUACAAUCGUUUUAGAUGUCUUUAUAUACAUAAGACACAAGAAACCCUAGUUCUAGAUCUUUCUAUAUCCGUGUGACACUAGUACAUUCACACGCUCACAACUGGAGUGGAGCUCAAGUUCGACAUGCUCCGACUUUGUCUUUUAGCUCCAUCUACUUCUUCCCUGCAAUUGUUUCUUCUGCUUUUCGUACAAGUAUCACGUGCCACUGUAGCUUCUUUCUUUCGUGGGCUGAUAAUAUCUUCUUUCUGUCUUGGGCCUUCGUCUCUUUGUAAGCCCAAUUCACAUACUCUGUUUCUUACACUUUCAUCCCCCCUCAAACUCGAGUGUGGUGGAAGACAGACUCCGAGUUUGUCACGAAUCCGUAGAAAUGGUUCCUUGGCUAGUGAUUUCGUGAAUAUGUCCGCAAGCUGACUAUGAGCUCGAAUGUGUGAUGUUUCAAUGAGACCAAGAGCCACCUUUUCACGGAUAAAGUGAUAAUCAACUUCCACAUGUUUUGUUCUGGCAUGAAACUUCGGAUUUGCAGUGAGAUGAACUGCAGAUAAAUUAUCACACAGUAGUUGAGCAGGGCGAGGCUGAGGGAUACCAAGAUCACGUAAUACAGCCGAUAUCCAAGUGAGCUCAGCAGCUGUAGAUGCUAAAGCUCGAUACUCAGCCUCGGUAGAAGAACGAGAAACAGUCGGUUGCUUUUUGGCACUCCAAGACACAAGAUGGGAACCAAGUAAGGUGCAGAAGCCUGUAGUUGACCGUCGUGUGUCCUUACAACCUGCCCAAUCGCUGUCACAGAAGGCAGUAAGAGACAAGUCAGCAUCCUUGGGAAGAUUAAUACCGAGUGAACUUGUUCCUCUCAAGUAACGUAGGAUUCGUUUCAUCAGGAUAAAGUCAGCCACUAUUGGAGCAUGCAUCCGUUGACAGACGAAAUUAACAGAGAACUGGAUGUCUGGCCUUGUAAGAGUCAGGUACUGAAGUUUACCAGCAAUGCUACAAAAUAAGUGGGAUUCUCAAAGAGCUGAUCACCAUUGGGAAUGUGAUCAAGCUGCAGAGGUAAAGGGGUUGGCCUCGGAUUGCAGUCGGCCAUUCCUGCAGUGAAGAGUAUUUCCUCUGUAUACUUAGACUGAUGUAGAAACAGACCCGAGUCAUGAAAGGAAGCUUGAAUUCCCAAAAAGUAACUCAGCUGACCCAUAUCCUUCAUUGAGAAUUCAGAAUGAAGCAGACCAAUGAAUCGAGUAAGUAAGUCUGGACAACUACCAGUGAGAAUCAUAUCAUCAACAUAGAGAAGAAGAACCAUAGUUGUUUUCUCAUGAUGAUAAAUAAAGAGUGAGGGAUCAGCCGGGCUGCAGAAGAACCCGAAUUCCAGCAAAAAAUUAGCAAACUUGUCAAACCAAGCUCUUGGUGCUUGACGAAGACCAUAGAGAGAUUUUUUGAGUUUGCAGACAUGAUUCGGAUAAGUGAGAUCUUCAUAGCCUGGAGGCUGUGUCAUGAACACGUCUUCCUGCAAGUCUCCAUGUAAAAAGGCGUUUUUAACAUCGAAUUGUUGAAGUGGCCAGUCCUUUGCAGUAGCAACAGCUAAGACUAUACGUAUGGUAGAGGUUUUAACCACAGGACUAAAAGUCUCAGUAAAGUCCACACUUCCUCUUGUAAGAAGCCUUUAGCAACUAAACGAGCCUUCAGGCGAUCAACAGAACCAUCUGCUUUCAGUUUAACCGUAAAUAUCCAUCUGCACCCCAGAACAUUCAUAGUGUCAGUUGCUGCAACAAGAUCAAACGUGUGACUUCCAUAGAUAUUCUUCAUCUCUUCAUCUGCAGCCGCUUUCCAACCCGGAUGUUUUAGUGCUUCUGCAAUGUUUUUAGGUAUCUUGGGGAUCGUGGUAUCAGUCAGGAGAACAUAUCGUUGAUUUGGUUUAGUAAUCCCUCGUUGUGCUCUUGUAAUCAUAGGAUGAGAGGAUGGCUCAGGUAGAGAGACUGGUAACAGUGAGGAGGAAGUGAUAACUGUCCUUUCAUUGAGAAGAUGAGUGCUGUCGCCAAUAGGAUCAAGAUCAAUGCUUGCCGUACGCUCAGAACGCUCAUCUCCCAAUGAAGUAGUUAUCUCUUGACCAACAGGUGUCUCAGCAGCUGGAGUGGAUCGUGAGGGAUGUACCUGAGAUACAGUGUCCGGAUCAGACGAGAGAUGUUGAUACCAUUGAGAGGAAAGGUCCGGAGAAGAUGGCUGAUGAAGAGACGGGGAUGGUAAUUUGAAAGGGAAGCACAUCUCAUCAAAAAUGACAUGUCUGCAAGUAAACACACGGUUAGUUGCAGGGUGUAGACAGCGAUAGCCCUUGUACUGAGCACUAUACCCAAGAAAAACGCAUUGGAGAGACUUGGGAGAGAACUUAGAUGUAGUAUAUGGUCGGAGGUAGGGAUAACACGCACAUCCAAAGACUCGUAGGGCUGUAUAGUGUGGUUUUUGCUGAAAGAGAAGCUCAAAAGGGGACUGAAAACGCAAAGCAGAGGAAGGUAACAGAUUGAUUAAGUAGUUUGCCGUAUAAAAUGCCUCAACCCAAUACCGAAAUGGUAUGUGACUGUGAAAGAUCAUGGUAAGACCCAGUUCAGUCAAAUGACGAUGUCUUCUUUCAGCUAAACCGUUCUGUUGUGGUGUAUGUGGACAUGACAUGAAGUGUUGAAUUCCUUGGUCUAUAAAAUGUUGUUUGAGUUGAUUGCUAGUGAACUCUCCUCCUCCAUCACUUUGAAACACUUUGAUUUUCUUGUUGAAUUGUUUCUCAACCAACUUUUGGAAACCAAGAAAGACUUCAUAAAAAUCGGAUUUAAACCGCAGAGGAUAAAACCAACCAUAGCGAGAGUAAUUAUCCACAAAGAUAGCAUAAUACUUAAAGCCUUGAACUGACAAAGUAGGAGCAGGACCCCACAAAUCACAAUGAAUCCUGGCCAAAGGUUCUAAGGCAACAGACUCUGAGGAAGAAAAAGGUAAGCGUGAGCUUUUUCCUAACUGACACGACGAACACACAGAGAUAGACCCACAACGACUACUCCGGAUGGAGUUAUUAUUCUUGAGGUGAUGGAGAACUUGAGCAUUGGGGUGUCCUAGACGUUGGUGCCAGACAUCAUCAUUGGUGAACUGUUGCCUUGAAGAAAAGAACGCCAAUGCUCCAGGAUUCUCCAAUCGGUAGAGACUGUCAUGCCUUCUUCCCUGUGCAACACCUUCUGAGUAGAUUUGUCCACAACACACACAUAAUCAGAGUCAAAGUAAACCCCACAUGCAGCAUCAUCACACAACCUAGAGACAGACAGCAACGGUUUCUGUAUAGUGGGACAGACCAAGACAUUUUGCAGAGGUAACUUACCUGAGGGUGUUGGGAGGGAAGUAGAACCCACAUGAGUGAUUGGUAAGUAGUUACCAUCAGCCACCAUCACCGUUUCUGCACCAUGAUAAGGCUGAGCUGUCUCAAGAUUUGCUGCAGAGUUGGUGAUGUGUGAUGAGGCACCCGAGUCAGGGAACCAUUCUUGACCAGAAGAGCCUGAAAUCUGCAUUGCUGCCAAGGCUUGAGGGACAUCAGUGCUCUGGUAGGAGUGAUCAAAACGAUUCCAGCACUUAAGAGCUAUGUGACCAGUUCUCCCACAGAUCUGACACACAGGGCGGUUUCCAGUCUGUUGUUGAGUCUGCUGUGAGUUUCCAUUGCCACCAGACCAGUUGGAGACUUGCUGAGUGAAGCCACGACCACGAGUAUUGUAUCCACCACGUCCACGACCACGGUUAUUGUAGUUUCCACGUCCAUUGUUGCCAAAGUUUUGAGUUUGAGGCACAAAGGAUUGAGCUUGGGCUUGAAAGGCCAUGUGAGCAUCCACAGGAGCAGGAGUAUAGGCCUUGAUGCGACUGUCAAAAGCCAUCAGUUGAGAGACAACUUGAGUGUAGGUUGGAACAGGUGGCUUAUGCAUCGAGGUCUGGAUUGAGGUAGCAAAAGCCUCGUACGGCUUGCCCAAACUGUGGAGCAGCCGAAAGAUCUUCAUAUUCUCUGAGACCGGCUUCCCAAUGGAGCUCAGUUGGUCGCAGAUGAGCUUGAACUCACGCAGAUAGUCUCGCAUCUCCAUAUUUCCUUUGGUGAGAACCUGAAGACUUGCCAAGAGAUCGUAUUCUCGAGAAACAGAACAUUGAUUAAAGUUUUCAGCCAAAGAGAGCCACACAUCACGAGCAGAACGACAACCAUAAGUGUAACCAAGAGCUCCCUCAGACAGUGUUCCAAACAACCAAGACAUAACAAGUUGAUCUGUUUGUAACCACGCUUCAAAGUCAGGAUUACUCACCUCACUGACUUCAUUCUGAAACUUGACACGGAUCUUCUCCGUAGGCUGCUUCUGACCACCGUCAACAAAACAGAGCAGCUUUUGACUUCUCAGUAACGCCUCGACCUGUGUCUUCCAGGCCAGGUAGUUGUCAUCACCGAGUUUGACAGACACGAAGCUUCCAACGUUGAUGUUUGUUGGAAACGGAAAGAGAUCGGACACACCCUCUCCUCUUGGCUCUGAUACCAUGUUAGUCACUUCAGACAUGACACUUUCCUUAACACAAACACGAAGUAGAAAGGAUUUAACAAGAAAAAGGAGACAACUUUGUAAAGACAAGAACUUUGUGUAUCUUCCUUUUUGUUUUCUACUGCUUCUUACAAUCGUUUUAGAUGUCUUUAUAUACAUAAGACACAAGAAGCCCUAGUUCUAGAUCUUUCUAUAUCCGUGUGACACUAGUACAUUCACACGCUCACAACUGGAGUGGAGCUCAAGUUCGACAUGCUCCGACUUUGUCUUUUAGCUCCAUCUACUUCUUCUCUGCAAUUGUUUCUUCUGCUUUUCGUACAAGUAUCACGUGCCACUGUAACUUCUUUCUUUCGUGGGCUGAUAAUAUCUUCUUUCUGUCUUGGGCCUUCGUCUCUUUGUAAGCCCAAUUCACAUACUCUGUUUCUUACACUUUCAAUAAACAUAGCCAUAAACCCGAAAAUGGUUUCUCAACAGAUUACAAAUUGGUUCUACAAUAGGAGUUUUUUGCCUCUCUCUCUUCUCUCAUAUUCAUCUUUCAGAGAGAGAGUGCUUUUUCUCCUUUGAUGUAUAUUCCGAUUAAUAUCGGAUCAAUAAUUUCCGUUUAACGGAUUUGGUUUUCUGGCAAAGACCGGAUCUUUUGUUGUUCGUUUUGAAUCUCCUUUGCUUGCUAAGAGUAAUUCUUCAUAUAUAAGAUCAAGCAAAAGGUUUUUCAAGUUCGGACUUUGUUUUUGUCUUUCUCUUUCCUCUAUUAGAGCUGGCCAUUCAUCUUUUCUUCAUGAAGCAGUGGCGAGGCCAAGAUCCGAUGACAGAGAGUAGAAUCUUCUACCUCUAAUGGUGGCAUCAUCCUACCUGACCAGGAGUUAUGUCUCCUUUCAACCCUUUAAUGAAGCCUUUCAAGGCGUUGGGUGUUUGGUCAUGUGUAUUUGAUGAUCGACAGUAAAAUUCUAUGGUGGUGUGAAGUUUCUCUGCUUGAAUCUGGAUUGGAUCUGCUCUUCGGAGGAUGGCGUUUUCGAUAAACAAUUGAUCGGCAUUUCACCGGAAUUUCGAUCUGUUACUUUCGCCGGCGAGUUUGCAGUGACUACUCUUCAAUUUCUUUGACCCACACGUGUAUCACACGUGGCCAUCAUGCAUUAUCACUUAUCUUAUCUUUUUGUGGUUUGUAACAAUUUGAGUUACUUGGGCCAAAUUUAUUGUUGGGUUUGUAAUCGAAAAUACAUGUAAUGCCUUUUGGGCUUUAAAUUAAUACAAAGACGACAAAAAAAAAAAAACAAAUUGGUUCUGCAAUAAAAAAGUACAUCAAAAUCGUUUCUCCUCAAACGUCGUCACUCAUCAUCAUUUUUACGGAUCUAUAACCUAUAUUAUACCCUAGUUAGGCCCAAUUCUCCUGUUUGGUCCCAAA
rnacentral:lncRNA from 1 species